rnacentral:lncRNA from 1 species
UAUAAUCUCGUCUUUGAUGCGUGGCUCCCAUCGUCGAUCAUUACAGAGUGUGUCUGCUCAGUCUCUUAGCUUCUGUUCUUCUUAUGAGGACUUUUACUGUCGCGCUUUCGAUCGCACCUUCACUUCUGAUUGUCACCGAAUGUGUUGCUUUCGCGAGCUGAUGAAUCCAUUGCGACGGCAUCGCAAAUCCAUUCAGUGAACGAUGACGUUUACUGUGAUAUCUCCCCACAUUGCAUUGUGCAGGAUGGAAAGGUUUAUACCUUUUUCAACUUAACCUGGAUAGUUUUGCAACACGGAUUCAGCUAUGACGCAGCCAUUUUUAUUACCACUUGAGAAGAGUGAUGAAUGCACCAUCUUGUGAGGACUAAACUGCUAUAAUGUUAUGUAGCAUUUUGAUGUUCAUGUGCUACGGAAACAGGUAUUCAAAUCGCUUGCAGGAAACCGAAAUUGAUUCUCUGACUUACUUAUACGUUAAGUAUUAUUUUAAGUUCAUGCUUUUAAUUUAAGUUAAUUAUUUUGAAUUAUUUUAUUGUUGUCAGGGGUGCAAUUACCUUUCACUUGAUUGAAUUUGGUAAAUGCAUGAUCUAUAUUUAUUAUUUUCACUCGAAAUGCAAAUGGAGUUAGGUAUGUGUCACUGUGAACAUGCUACAAUGAGAUAUAACAUACUGAAUGCCGAAUUGCUCGAAUAAGUCAACCGUAGUGUAGUACUGUAAAGUUACAUCAAUUAUGUAAAGCAAUCCAUACUAUGCAUUUAAUGAAUUAUGUUAACUUCACCAUGUUAGUGAAAUUUAUAUAAUAAAUCUAGUACAUUGUAUUUUUUUCCAAUACAAGAAUUAUUGUGAAGAUUGAUGUUCAAAGAUAACCAAUAAUGUUCCUAGUAUCUGGUUAUUGUCAGGCUUUUCUAUUCUUACACAAAAAUAUGAAUACAAAAGAAUAGUAAUGUUUGAUGAUGCUACCACCAAACUUCAACAGUUGUCACGCAUCAUUAAUUCUAUGCACACAGCACAUUUAGAAGUGACUGUUUAAACACCUUUAUUGUAUUUCACUAAGAGGAUGCAUAUGCAAUAACAAGCCUCAAAUCUUUCGCCAUACAAUUGAGCGGGUGAUAAGAAACUCUUCAUUACUUCUAUCUCAUGAGUAAAUCCAUCAAAUUUCUCCGGCAAUAUUUCAACGAUGAAUGCAGUAACAUCGUCAGUAGGAGCUGUUGUUAAGAUUCAGGUCACAGCUUUCCUCCAGCUUCAUUGAACAACCACAUGUGUGUAACCCGCAGCCAAAGAGAAAUGGGAUCUUGUACUACCUGGUGUGGUUGCUAUCCUCCUCCCCCCUCCUCCGCAAGGAAGGUGACUACAGAAUUCUUUCAUGUCAAGUUUCUCCCAGCAGCUACAAGCACAAAGUGGAAAUUUUCGUCACUUCCCAGGGAGAGAAAAGUUGGGAAGAAAGAAAUAGUGUUCUCGAAAUGACGCGGUUGAAAAGAGAAUUAGGGUUCAGCCAGUUUCUUGAAGUACUUGAGAAUUUUACGAAUGCAAGGUGUCAAGAAAUGCCGUGAAUCUGCUCUAAAAUUCCAAACCUCUAAAAAACUGGGAUCUCUAAUGUCGAUGAUGCAGCUUCUCUCUCUCUCGGUAUGCCUCAGCGUACCUGCACACACGCAAAAUGUCAUGGAUUCCGUGUAUUCUUUUGGCAUCACAGUACGUUUCCAUUUGUUUGUUGAUUUGUUUGAUCUUUUAAAUAUUAUGAUUAUUAUUAUUAUUAUUAUUUUAUUAUUAUUUGUUUUCUUCCUUCCUGCAGCAACUCUUAUUUUUAAGGUAACAUCCCCUUUUUCAACAAGCAAAGCUCAUCUAAAGAGGAAGAAAACAAACGCGAAAAUUUCCAGAACAACUUCACAAAAACGCUUCAACCCCAAACCUGCUGAAUAUAGUGAAGAUACAACAAACAGAUACACAAAUGAAACAUCCAGAGAAAAGAUGUAAAAUGAAAAAAGGGAAAGAAUACAGCACCCCAGAAAAGAAAACAUAGUCACAAAUUUUGAUAACCCUGCAUUAACCAAAUAACAAGUCUUCCACCAAAGACCAAAACCAUAAGAUACGAGAUGCCAUCCCUCACCAACUCUUGAUGGUGAGACACAUGCAACAAACCAACACACAACGGCAAAUAGCAUAGAAACACACCCGUAGCUGCCGAGGACAGGAACCAACAGAAACAGUGCCGACACCCAGUUGUCAUUGAACCGCUUCAUGGUCUUGUACCGAACAUCAUGAAGAAGGCCUCGCCAUAUGUGUUGAUGGCAAGGGGACAGUGAAUAGGUGACCUCCUUCAGCCGGACCGGCACCUUCCCCAUAGCUUGCAAAUGCUAACGCACUCUAAAGCAACACAAAAAAAAAAAAAAAAAAAAAAAAAAACAAAAACAAAAACAAAAACAAAAGGAUAUCAAAACCACAUCUACGGAGCAUGCAAAGACAUGAAAUUGAAGGUGAGGAAGAAUGGAGGCUGAAGCAGCAAAACCCAUGUGCAAGAUUGGGCAACAACAGGAGCAAGAAUUUGUGUGCAGUUGUGCGAGGAGGUCCUGGGUGGCGGUGGUUACAAAUGAGCUGGCCUUUCCGGAUCACACCACAUCAUGAAAAAGACACUAGUUACAUUGCAAGGGGGGCUAGUAGACUAUGCUCUCAUCACAAGGCAGGCAACUCAAAAUUCCUCAUUCUGAUUAGUCUAAAAAUGUACACAAACUACUGGUGGAGGAUGACGAGUACUCACUUGCAUUCAACUCAGUGCAGGUGAGUGGUUCGAAUCCUUGUUUUAGAUUUUUAACUGUUUUAUAUUUUGUGAAAAAACAAUGCAUGAAUAAUUUUUUUUGUUGUUAAAAAAAAAACAAAGAAUCUCAAUAAAUAAAUAAAUAAAUAAAUAAAUAUAAAUAAAUAAAUAAAUAUAUAUAUAUAUUAUUUACUUUGUUUUGGUGGUGGGUUUGUUAGUGGUAGAUGUCUGAUGCAUACUUUUAGUCUUGUCCUAACUUUAGAAAUUAGUAUCUUGGUAAAAAAAAAAGUACCAAUAAAACCAAAUCUAUUCCCAUUGAGAAUCUCUAUAAAGCCCCCCACAGCCAUUCCAUGACGGCGACGGUUAUCUGCGGCAACCAGCGGCAUAAAUCGGAUAAAUUAUGAACGUUAGACUGAGCGAGGGAAUCAGUGGCCCAGAGCAGCCCAACUUGGAUGAAUACUUACUUUCAUGCUUUUUCUACACUUUCAUCCAUCCUUUCUCACGGCGUACUGGGUGACUGCCAGGUGUCCAUCAAUCUUAUGUGCCAAGUGGUGGUGCAGGCAUCGUUCCCCGUGUCCGAAUUAUUCAAUUAAAAAUGGUCUCGACUAUGUAUAUGUUGUAGUCAGUAUUUCGAUCGCCCUCUCUCUCCCUCUCUUUCUCGAUAUUCAAUCACUCGCAAUCCUUCUGUUUCUUCGAUUUUUUAUUCUGCUACUUCAUUGGUUUACUCAAUUUCAUCGACAAUGAAUUUCUUCGGGAACAACAACAACAACACCCAGGACGCCGCUGCCCAGAAGGCGGAGGAGACCAAGGCUUCCACCAUGGUAAGGAACCCACCUGAUUGUCCACAGGGUCCACUUCUGUUAUCCGUGAGUUGCGUAUAGUUGAGCAGUUGGAUUCUUUGUUCCGAAUCACUGGCUUUUGUUAAAUAUGAAUCUCUCAGGACAUCGCUGGGGCCGCCCAGAACAAGGCCCAAGACGCCGCUGGAGCUGCAGGUGACAAGGCCAAUGAAGCCAAGGAGGCUUCGGCCAACGCUGCGGGAGCGGCCCAGGACAAGGCCUCGGAUGCUGCGGGAGUCGCGCAGGAUAAGGCUAGCCAAGCGCAGAGCCUUGCUGGUGAGAAAUUGCAGCAGACACAGCAGGCUUCAGCAAAUGCGGCCCAUGCCGCACAGCAGAAGGCCAUGGAGGCCAAGGAUGGAGCUGGAAACAUGCUGCAGCAGACUCAGAAUGCUGUGGGCAACGCACUCAACGCUGCCAAGAACGCAGUUACCCCCAACCAAUAGAUUUUUCUUUGUUCAGUCGCUCAACAAUGAUGAUUAACUCUUUCGAUGAAAGGGUAGACAAGAGAACUGUAAAUUGCCGUGUACUGUAUAGGUCACGCCGCUUUGUAUGUAAUACAAGAGCUCGCAAGAGCGUUCAGUUUUUUAUCUCUUUGUUGGUACAUUAAGUAUUUGAAUCAGUUUCUGUAUUGUUCUCUUCUUUACAUCGGUUAAUUGGUAGAUUUGGUACGAUCUGAUCGGUAGGUAUGGAAUGUUGGUAAAUUUCUCGGGACUUACAGAUAACAAAACUUAUCGAGUUUCACCAAAUUGGGUGUUUUACUACUCAGUUAUGCACAAUUCUUUUUCAUUUUUUGAGGCGUCGAAUUUUCCUACAAGUAUUGGUGCGUAAUGUUACACUGAAGUAGCAAUUUUCGUGAUAAGACUGUAGAGGUGGUGAUGAAUAUGUUAAGAUUAUAUAAUAUACCAAGUUCCCGCAACAUUAUUAUGUGAUGUAAAGGAUUCGAGGCACCCGAUUGUCGAUUUGUGCAAGAUAGGUUAUCAGAUCUAGUGUGAGUUAAGCCACAGCCUACAGAAGAUUGAAUUAAUCAUGCUCACCAGAUUGAGUUUUACUUGCUGGGAAUGUGUCACGGGAGAUGAAGCGUGUAGCAAUAUUCUUGUUUGAGAAAAUACCUCGAAAAUGUCUGCUUCAGUGAAUAGAAUAACCGUCAAUAAUUGCAUCCUUCCAUAGGAAGAUGGUACCUCAAAAAAUUCAAGUUCAGUAUCAAAGAAUUGGACUUACAAGAAGUGCUGACCAAGUGGACCAAACACGAGAAUCGCGAAAACCGAACCCAAGACAAAGCUUGUUCAUUGCAAGUUGUCGAACAAACCCACAUUUACAAUGAGAAUAGUCCUCGAUCAUUAACUAUUGACCACCCUCUUGAUUCAAUAUUUUCCAGAAUCCUAGUCUAUAGAGUGAACACAUGCACUCAUAAUUCAUGCUUUAGAAAUUACAAUUCUGUUUAAUACCGUGCGCAUCCAAACUCAUCGCAAAUUUCGAUCUGGAAUGACUUCUGAAUGUACAACAAGACACCAUUUCGUAAGCAGGCCGACUAAUACAUUAAGAAUUGCGCUAAAUUGGCAGUAGAGCGGCGUAGAUCCUAGUUCUAAGAUGUAUAGAUACUAGGAUUUGGGCGUAUAUCUAAGCGCACCCUGAUAAAGAACCAGUUAUAGAAAGUACGCGAUGUCAGAUUUUAAAGAAUACUGCAUACUUCUUCUGCUGCAAAAGCUCUGAAGCAUAGAUCAUACAAUCUCAGCUUCAUAAAGUAGACUGAAGCCCUGAAAGAGUGAAAUAUCUAGCACAAAGCAUGAGUGAGCAAGUCAAGGUAGAGCCUGAUCGUUCCGAAUUUGGAACCUCAGAAGCUGGUCACCAACAAUAGAGGACCUUUUCGUAUCCUACAGUCAUGUAACAAUUUGCUCUUGCGAUAGACUGACAAAAACUAUCAGGAGUGCAUGACUCCGCAUCAUGCACGUAUAACAGAAUUGCGAAAUGAUAUGUACUGACACAAAAUUUCACGUAAAUGGACACUGAAAGCAGUUCGGUUUGAGUUCAGAUCAGCCUUCCACAAAAUACUUAACUAGUUCAAAAGAUUGAAAUUCAUAAUACACGUAGUUAAGCUUUGCUAGCGAACCUAGUCAAUAAAUUGCAUAAUUCUUUGGUAUGUAACUCGUUAUACUGUCUACCUGGUCUUUGAAUAAAGUAAAUGAAAUGUUCACCUCUAUGAGUACGUAUGGUGAGUAACCCUCUUCACAGGUGAAAACCCUACACUGUCUACCUUCUCCUUUCUGUACAGGGACGAUUAACUUUGACCUGCAUCCAACCUACACGUCUACCCAAAAUUAAUGCAUGAAUGGCAGCAUUGCAGUCGACGGUAAAAGAAAGCUUCCGUAUACUGUGGUUACUGUUUGGUCAAGGCCGACUUGGCCUUCUGCGCAUCCUCGUAGGAACCGUACUUCUUAACUUUCCUGCGUAAGCUUCUUUUGCGACUAAAUGCACCUUCAACAGGUAUGGCAGCAGUCAUGGCAUCACGCAUGGCAUUGACAAGCGUAAGGUUUGCGUCCGUGUAUAUACUGGUCACAAACCCAGGCUGACCUGCUCUAGCAGUUCGACCUAUUCUGUGAAUGAAGUCGACAGCUGAAGUAGCAAACUCUGCUUGAAUGACAUGAGUUAUGUUAGGAAUAUCAAGGCCUCUAGCAGCGGCAUCUGUGCAGAUUAGCGUACCGCCCUCUUCUUCGAAAGAUGACAAGGCUGCUGCCUUAUCCUCCACUGAUAAGUCCCGAUGAUAACGCAUGCAUUUCAGCCCACAUUGAUCCAGGACCCGUGCAAUUGCAUCUACGCCUUCAACGCUGUUAGCAAAAACAAGCGUUCUAGCGUUGGACCGACUUUCUCUUAAAGCGUCAGUAAGCACAGACAAUAGGUUAUUGUCUUUGUUAACAUGUACCCACCGGUGUUCUAACAUGGGAUUGUGGCGAUGAAGGAAAUUGCCAUGGACCCAAGUCAUAGCCGGAAAUUUCUGCUUGAGAACUGCUCCAGGUGAACUCUUGCCAGCUUGAGGAAGUGUUGCUGCAACAAAAAUGUACUGUUUACUUCUCUUAUACUCCUUCCUAUUCCGCAACCACUCAGAUCUCCUCUGCAUUGACGCACUCUGUCCACUGGAAGCUGUGCUCUCUUGGGCACGUUGCUCGAAAAGUAAAGAGUUUCCACUUUCGUCGACAAUUUCCUGUGCUUCUCUUUCGACCUCCUCUGCCACAUCCCCUGCCUCCUCCUGCCCUUCAGCUUCGCUCCAAACUCUCCGAAAUUCAGGUUCUUUAAACUCUAUCUUCGUCUCUACCGACGCUUCAAGCUCUCGAAGCUUGGAAAUCCGCUUCUCUUCUAGACGAAAUAAGUCGAUGAGCCGACCAACAUCCCGCACAAACCCGCCCCCCAACAACAUGUCCGCUUCAUCAAAAACCACCAUUCUCACAGCCUUAACAAACGCUAUACGUCGACGACGAUUCGCAUCGAACCCAAACAAAUUAUUCAACAAAGCUGCCGGAGUCGCAACAACAACGUCCGGAAGAUAAGUCGGCCAUCCCUGUCCCCCUGAAAUCAUAUCCACGCGCACCAGAGGCUGUCCGUCCUCACCUCGUAACGCAUUCGCCAUAUCCACAACCUGAUGGCACAGCAGUGCAUUUGGACACAACACUAAACCCAACCCAAACCCCAAACCCUCAAAAGGGCUUUUCUCCUUAUCCUCUGCAUCUUCUAUCCCGCUCGCACCUGCCUUCCACAUCUUCUGCACAAGAGGCGCCAGAUACGUGUGCGUCUUCCCGCUGCCCGUCUCCGCAGCUACUACCACAUCCCCAGUCCCCAAAAUCGAAGGGAUGGCUGCCGCUUGUACCAAAGACGGAUGCGGCAGCCCCGCACGCAUCAAUGCCCCCACAACCUCGCCAUCCAACCCCAGCGACCUCCAAGUAAUGCCCUUCUCAGCCCAAAACCCACCCGCAUCCUCGCCGCCUCCUUCCGCCCUGAUCCCCGACGCCGAAAACCGCCUCCUGGCUCCAGGAACGCAUCGCAGAUUGAAUCCAAUUGUCUCCACCGUCCAAAUAUUCGAACCGCACGCGCUCUGCAAGCGGUAUAAGCACCUGUGCGACGAGCAGCUGAAAGCUGCUCUGGUGUAAGGCACGAGCGCCGACACGGACGCCGCAGCCACAAUGCACCGCGCCAUGGCUGAAUUCCUGCUGCAAUUAACGAGUGCUCUUGUGUCGUCGCAGCAGAGACACCGUGAGACCCAGAGGGACUGCCAUCAGCCUGAGGAUGAAGGCCGAAUGUCAUCUACGUCAUCCGACUUCAUCAUUGUAAUACAUUCAUCCUAUAGUAGACAUACCAACUUCCAUGCCACUCCUUUGUCCUUUAUCAUAAACCUCUAAGCAAGUUGUUAGAAGAUUGAAAUGGUAAUUUAACCCCUAAAAAUUGUAUAUCAAAAAGCUACAAAAUCGUUUUCCAUGAUAAAACAGUUGCUAUUUGAUGUACUAAUAUUUUAUUUAUUUUUGUAAAGAAGAAUUUUUGAAUACACCAACUCAGAUGCUCAAAAUACCCCGAAUAUGCAUUUCCUACAUUAUAGAAACCCCAAAUUCAAAAAAUAUGUAUAUAUAUAUAUAUAUAUAUAUUUUAAAUAUUACUUAAGCAAGCAGAAGUGCCACUAAGCGCAUUCUGUUCCUUGUAGGACUUAGAAACCAGUUGAUUUCAAAACCACCACCUCCAACGUGUGAACAGAACUCAUUCAAGGGGGAGUUUCCUUCGAGGUCGGGGACCUCGAAUGAGGUGCGGACCCAAUGGAUCGACACCUCAAUUUCCACAGUGGAUAAAUGGCCGCCUGCCCGCCCUGCCCGCCCGCGCGUCGACGCAGCCACAGCUGAAUGGGGGGGGGGAGUCAGGCUUUGCUGGGCGGGGCUUUGCACACGCAGUGGUCGCAAUAACAAUUGCAAUGUCUGGAUAGCCAGGGAGGGAGGGGGAUUCACAGCAGUCUCGGCGGUGGUGAGAUCGACGAGCAGUCACGCAGCCAUGUUUGCUCUCUGUGCAGCUCGCGUGGUGCCUGCACUCGGUUCUUCGUCCUCCGCGUCUUCGUGUAUUGAACUCUCAACCUUAUCUGUGCCAGCUCCAAUUUCGUGUGUGGUGAUUUUGUGUGAAAUCGCUGAGAGGUGGACAGGAAUCAAUUCUGUGAGGAGUUUCAUCUACUCAGCGCGGGAGGUUUGUUUAUAGGGUUAGAUUUUUGUCGCGUAGGGUUAUCACCGCUGAGGUUUUGGGCUUAUUCGCUGCUGUGAUUGUUUGUUCAAUUGGGAGUGGUGGAGGUGGUGAAAGGUUAUGCGGUUGCCCUUCCUACUCUGCUGUCAGUUUGCAGCUGCGUUAGGUUUACCCCUGAAUUGAUGUGUUUUCCUCUCCGUGCCCGAAUUAGCUUUUCUGCGGUCUGUAUGUGCUGAUGAGAUUGGAAGAAUUUUGGUUUUGAGUAGUGAAGAAGUGGGAUAUUAGUCGUCCGCUCAUUGAGAUUUGUGCAUCCUAACGACGUAGCUUGUUGGAAUGUUGCAGCAUUCCGGGGUUCUAGAAUUACCUCGAAAGGAUUAUGUGAGGUUUCAAGUUUGUCAGCUCGAACGACAUGCGCUACGGUGCGGUGCAUUCACUCGGAUAGUUUAAAUGAAAAUCAUCGAACCGAUUCUGAAGCUAAGACUAAGCUUUUUAGUAGGGCAGAUUCUCUGUCGAACGGUUUAGAUGAAUGUAACUUUAGUAAGCGUAGAGCAAUAGGGCGCAGAGACCUUUUGAAUCUUGCUGCAGGAUUCGGAAGUGCUCUGCUAGUUGAAAGAUUAGCGGAAAAAGACAUUGCUUUAGCAGUCUCAAAGAAAGACCCCUCCCCAAAGAGCCCUGUCGAUGAGAAGAGAUUGCUCGAUCAGAAUCGGAGGAUGCAAAAAGUCAACAAUGCUCCAGAGGAUUUUCCUACCUUUAUUCGCGAAGGUAUAUCUUAUAUUGUUUGAUUCAACAGUAUCGUGUAGUUAUUUCUUUCCAACGGUGUUGUUCCCCUCUUUUUGUAGCCAUGUGAUGUCUCUUCUUUUCUACGAUCACAGUAAUGAUAUUCUGGGGCACUGUUCUUACUUUUUCUAUCAGCGGGAUCUCUAAGGAAACACAAUUUGGUGCGUUCAGGAUUCCAGGUGAAGGUGAUAACGGAUGACAAGUACACGACGGCCGAAUCGGGACUCAUUUACUACGACAUUGUUGAAGGCCAAGGGGAGUCGCCGAAGGAUGGGCAGCAGGUAUUUGCAUUGAUCUCCUUGCAUAAUCAAUUUUUUGUUAUACAUUUUGUUAUAUUUAUUUUAUUUUGAUGUUUUAAAAAAAUCAAUUAAAAUUUAAGAAAUGCUGUUUUAGAACUUUACAGGUGGGAUGGAUUUGGUCGACGCUAACCUGUGCUUUUAACGGUUGUUGGGAGUAGUUAAAAUUCCAUUACAUAGGAUAUAACGAGAAUGGACGGCGCAUUGAUAGUAGCUAUCAACAAGGUGAACCUGCACGUACAAGACUUGGUAUCAAAGGGAUGAUUCCUGGUAAGUCUUCUAGCCUUUCACAUCAUAGGUAUGUAGGCUCUUCUUUUAAUUAUUCGUUUGUCGGAUUGAAGGCCUUCGCUGAAUGGGAUGCUUAUUUAUAUAGGUUUCGAAGAAGGGAUUCGGACCAUGAAGCCUGGAGGCAAGCGUCGGAUUGUUAUUCCUCCCGAACUUGGUCCCCCGGUAUGUGUCUUCUACUUGAAGAGGCCAGUUAUAUUGGGAUUUUUGUUGGUGAUUCAAUUCCUUACCCACUUCACUUCCAACGCGUAUACGUGUUAUUCCUCCAUUUUCGUAAUUCUGUCUUUCAGUUGAUGUUACAUGUUUCUAACCACCGCAUAUUUCAUCUGAAAUUUAACGAAGUAAGUGCAAACCAAUUUGAAAUGUAGAGUUAAAGAUACUAUGUGACUAUGUCCAUGUUGUCCAAUGCAGCAAAUACGUGUUUUGUUGCAUUAUCCUUCUUACAAGUUGUUUUCUUUUGAGCAGGUUGGACCAUCAACCUUCUUUAGUGCCAAGCAAUUUGAAGUAUUCGACGUGGAACUGUUAGAAGUGAAGAAUUGCGAAAGAAGAACUGUGUUUCUUUACUCUGAUGUUGUUUGUGAUUAGGCUUCUAUCUAUCUUACUAGGAAAUACCAUUCUGGAGUCGGCAACAAUGUGGUGCAGCUUUGUGGGCUUAAUUUAUGGCUUUCCUAAAUCGAAGUUUUCUUUUGACCUCUGGUUUGCAUUGUAUGAGUAGGAUUGGCGUUUCAAAGGAUUUGACUCGAAUCCUUCUAGGCAGAUUCAUUUAAGCAGCAACAGUUGUGAAAGUCCGUCUCCCGACAUUGUGUCCGGUCUUGAAUGCGCUUGAGCUAAAACUAGUUCCCAUUUAAAUCAUGCUUAUGAGAUGCUACCGUGAUUCUUGCUGAAUGAACUGGAACUGCAUGUAUUGUUUCUUGAAGAAAGCACUGUUUGGUGGGUAUAGUCACGCAUUGAGGAUCAGCCAAUGUUGCAGCGAUCAUUUUGACUUCGCAAGGAACGCAAACACAAUUAUAAAACCAGCUUUCACAUACUCAUGAAUUCAUGAAGCCAGUAAUUAGGUCGAGCACGUUAAUGCAGCUGAUCGUUCCAUCCAUCGAAACCUGGAGCGGCGACCCGUACUGGUCAUGUUCUUCGACGCAGUCUACACACUUUCAAAUUUUAUACCAAACUAAUCACAAAUUUCUUUGGUGAUGGAGUAGAGUGAAGAACCGGAUGGACGUGAUUGUUGUGACAGCGAAUCCUGUGUGACUGGCAAGGGGCAAGCUGUCAGCAAAGGAAGGGACAGGCUCCACCAGAGGUUGCCAUUAGUUGGCGAACAAGGUUCAACUUGGAGAUGGCGCAAGACAGCCAUGGGAUGAAUUCCAUUGAAUACAAUAUAGAUGCAUAGAAUACUUAUGUAUCCCAAUACUUGCUGAGGCCCUCUUUCAAAUCGAUUUUGUAUUAAAAUAUUGAGAUUGGGAAUGUUCCUACUAGCCCUAUACAUUAGGCUUCUUUAUGAUCUUAUUGGCUAGCACAUGAAUUGUGCUAAGGCCAUUUUUUCAUCUCUACAUAUGUAGAAGGAUCCCCUUGUGGAGAAAUUGUAGUAUGGAGGCAUUGGUUAAAGGUUGGUUUUGGGUGUACUAUACAUCACACCUAACAAGGUUGAUGUUGGUAAAAUUUAAGUGCAAAUUGUUAUUUUUAAAAUCUCUAUCAAAUUGCUAUGUUGCAUCAUGAUUGGAUUGAAGAAGAAUUGGGCAAUUUUUUCAAAAUCCUUCAACUAUGAUGUUUGGACUUCAAUUCAUUUGGUGAGGCAAUACAUGGCUACUAUGAUGUACUUGUGCCUUGUGAUCAUUGUUGUUAGGGGCCCCUGAGAUCUAUGCCUACUUGCAUGAAUAGUUCUAAGAUAGAAAUUAAUGUUAGUAUGUACAACACGACAUCCUUGUCAUAAUUAGGUUUUACUUAGUACACUAAAUAUUAUUGAAUAAAAUUAGUUACUUCACUUAUUAUAUUGAUUCAAUAGUAGACUUCUUGAAGUUGCUUGAGAGUUCUUCAUACUGUAAAGUCUCUCUAUAUUUUUGCUACAUGAAAUAAUUCUAGAAUUUAAAAAAGAUUAAAUGCUUUAGAUACUUGAAAAAUGCAAGAUCCUCCAUAGAAUCGUCUUUUUGUAAAAGAAGGCACAAUCCUAAGUGAGGUAUUGAGAGAGAUAGUACUUUAUUUGUUUGACAAGAGUUUGUCCAAGCUCCAAUCAAUUGAGCCAAUCCGACAAGCCUCCACAAUGUAUACUCAUGUCAUAUGUAGAAUAAGAAGUCAAGAUCCAUUGUCCAUGAGGUUAAUUGUAAAAGGUUGAAAUUGACAAAUGGAGUCAAGAUCUUGAAAAUUUGUAUAAAAAUUGGGUGUCAUAGACUCAGCAUGUGUCAAAGCUUCAAUGUUGGCAUAUAUGCAACCAAGCUUGUGAAUGAUGGUGCAAUCAUACAAUUAUGAGAUUAGGAUCUAUUAUUCUAGCCAUCAUAUUAAGUCAUGUAAGCUCAUGAAAGCUUACAAAGAAGGAUAAUUGAUUUGAUAACAAAUUGUAAGCCAUAGAUAUAUGGUCAAAAGUGCUUGAUGGCAAAGAUGACAACAAAUUAUUUGUUAUUACUAUUGUUGUAGUUCUUCUUUGCCUUAAAGAAGCAAUGUAAGGUGUAUGUAACUACUCAUUCUUGGCUAUGAUAUUUUGGCUAAGUAUGGCUUCUAAAGCAUCUUAAUUUGCAUCAAUUUGUGGGAUGAAAGGUAAGUAAAAAUAUAGACAAUGAGAAGUAGAAUAAUACAUAAGCCAAACUUAAACUUAUUAAAGAUAGCAUGUUUGACAUUGUCCCAAAUAAAUGCCACUUCUUUCUUCAUUAAUUAGUAAAAUGGAGCUACUAAUAAAGAAAAGUCUUUUACAAAUUAGUCCUAAUGAUUAAUUAAUUCAAUAAAGAAUCGAGUACAUUUGAGAUUCAUAGAUGCAUGGAAUUAAAAAUCUAAUUAUACCUUAUCAAGAUCGGAUUGUAGUCUUAUAAUAGACAUAAUAUAUCAAAGAUAUGUGAGCUUUAGCAAGCCAAUGACACAUUUCUUGGCCUUGAGUUUGAGACUCAUACAUCCAAUUCAUAUUAAGAUUCUUUAAAGAUCAAUGAGAUGAGAGUCAAAGUCCUUAGAAUAUAUGUUGACAUCAUUGAUAUACACUAAGGUAAACUUCCAAUUGAACUAUCUUAAUACCAUAUCCAUAAGAUGUUGAAAGUUAUAUAUGACAUUAUAUAAUUCUAUAGGCAUGAUAUUGAAUUGAAACAAUUUCUCUUGAAAAAUAAAGGAUUUUUUUUUUUUUUUUUUUUUUUUUUUUAAAAAACUUUUUUAGCCUCAUUUGAUAAUAGGACUUACUAAAAGUCUAUGGCUAAAUCAAUAAAAGAGAAUAUAGUAGCUCUAUGUAAUUAAUCCAAGGUAUCAUUAAUACAAGGAAGAUGAUAAAUAUUCUUCUUCAUAAUUAAAUCCAAAAGUUAUUAGUUGAUGCAAAAUUGAAUAUUUUUAUUCUUCUUCUCUACCAAUACUACUAUGAAGAUCCAUAGAAAGAGGGAUGGACUACCUACUAUUGAAUCUAAGAACUUAUAUAUUUUAGUUUUGAUGAUGGAUUGUUUUUUUAUAUUCUUAUAAUAAUCCACUUGCCACCUAGAAGGUGCUUUAGUGACAAUAGCUUGAGUGAUUAGAGUAGCUUAAGAAAGAUUAAUAGGGCCAAUAUUAAAAAUUUUGAAGUUGUGGUAGAUAAAGCAUUGCUUUAUUGUGAGGUUGGAAUCCAUUUGCAUAUCAUAUAUGGCAGCAAGAAAUUUUUGAUGAUCUUUUUUUUAUACAAUGAUGGAUUGAAGCUUGAUAGUAGCCAAAAGAAGAAUUGUGUAUGAAUGGAAUACUUCUUCUAAUCUAAUGUCUAUACUAAAGGUACUUGAGAGUUUAUUAAUGAUGUCAAAAGAGAAGAUAAUAAGAUAUACUAGAAUUUGAUUAAUUUAGAUGUCUACUUAAGUGAUUAAAGGAUUGACCACUAUUAUUAUGAAUUUGUUGUGAUAUCAUCAAUUAUAAAUACGAUGUGCUACCAAGGCACAAUUUUGCUCAAAAUAGAGAUAUUAUGGUUGAAAUUCAAGGUAAUGUUGAAUAAGGCAUAUGAUAGAUAUGUUUGUGCAGUGAAUAUGUUGGAAGAAUAGAAGCAUCAUAAAUACAACAUAUUCUUGAAUGAAGGUGGAGAAAUUAGUAGUCAUUGCUAGAAGUUGUGUCUUUUGGCUACUUAUUAGAAGAGUCCACAUAUAGAGUUGUUUGUUGGAAUUUUAAAAAUAUGCUCAAAUUAAAAUAAUUGUCGUUAUUUUUGGAGAAAGAAAGAGGAAUCAAUGGACAUGUUGCUCUUAGCGCUAUAGUAAUAAAGGCAAGAAAGACUAUUUGUGAGGUUGUAUUGAAUAGAUUAAUUGUUAUUUGUUGAGACACAAUGUCAAACAAACAUAAUGUUUGAAUCAUCCAAUCUAAAAAAAAAAUAGUUUUUUUAAUAUUAAUAAUUAUAUCUACUAUAGCAUAAAUCCUAGUAAUAGUAAUAAUAACUACUACCAUUCAAAGGAAGCAAUAAAAAUUACUAUCUAUUAUUGUAACUUACAUAUUAAUUAAGAUGAUGCAAAGGUUUAAGAGCUUGGUAAUGACUAAGAGAACUCCCAUUGCAUUGCAACUUAUAUUGAUGAUUAUGGAAAAAUUGAUGCCAUUGAUGGAUCUUAGUACAAUCUAUGGUCUUACAAAGAUCUCUUUUUUUGAAUUAAUAGCAUAAUUUAAUUGAAAGAACAUAAUAGACAUUCGGAUAGGUAUCAAGGAUAUGAAUCUCAAAGAACUAAAAGAUUAAUACAUUCUUGUGUUACUUAAAAAGUUUGAAAAAUCAUUCAAAAAUGGUAUAAUAUUAAACUAUAAUGACUAUGGCCAAAGAUAAGAAGACUAAAAACUCUUGAAACAAGAAUAAGAAUUAGAAAAACAUUAAUAAGAAUGAAGAAGACUUCACUCUUGCUUCCAUAUAUACUACCUAUUUAAGAGCUACAUGGCACUAUUCUAUAAGACCUCCAACAUGUGUCUAAUUUGUAAGACAUGUGUUUUAAUUUGUAAGUUAAGUUUCAUUUAUAGAUGCCACAUUGUUAGGUUGUAUCACAUGCUACCGACAUGAAUAAUACAUGGCUAAUUUAUUGACAAAGUUUCUAACCUAUCAAUCAAAUAUAAACAUUAUAAUAUCAAAUACACAUCUAUGAAGCUUCUAAGAAGCUUUGUCAUAAGAUAAAAUCAAAUCCAUUUCCAUUUAUUUUUAUACUUAGUACUUCUUAUUUAGGUAAAUAUAUAUGUCUAUGAAAAUAGGUGGUCUUACCAUAGUCUUCAUAUCUUUAGUAUGAAAGAGUGUAAUGUUUAGUUUAAAUUUAUAUUGGAUGCACAUUACAUUUAUAGUUUUUUUUUUUUUUUUUUUUUUUUUUUUUUUUUUUUUAAUCUUGCCUAAUUAUUUGAGCAUUAAAGAAUGUAGUGAGUAAUUCAUGGUAUUUACUUCCAAUUAUAUUAAAGAUACUACAUAGAUUCAUUUAAUAUUUAAAGCCUCUAAUAUUGAUGUUGUUAUUAGAGAUAUCUAGUUUAAUCUAAUAGAUAUCACUACAUAAUGUAAUAAGCUACGUAAUGAGAUUUUGAACAAAGAUGAUUUGAUAAGUGAUUUUUUCAUUGAUAUGCAUAUUCAUUGCUCGGAUUAUUAUCAUGCGAUUUUAUAUUUUUAUAUUGGAUGCUGUAACAAUGGUAAUUUUUGUGGAUGCCUUAUGCUUCAUGUAUUAUAAUGGUAAAGAAAUAAAACAUUAAAGGAAUAUAUUAAAGUAGCAUGGUAUUACUUUAUUCGAAAUGGAUAUAUAAUUUUUGCUUUUUGCAUUAGAUUCAAGAACAAAGAUUAUAUGAAGUGUUACAAUGCAACUUGUUGCAUGAAUUUACCUUUGUCCUAUAUUACCAACUUAGUGUAGUUAGUGAAGUAUGAAAAAUAUAAAUCAAGAUUAUUUAUAUAUUGGUAUUUGGUGUUAUUCAAGUAAUUCUAUGUUAGAUUCUAUUAGUUGGCAAGAAUGAAGAAUACAUUAUCAAGGUAUUAAACACGUGCUCAUGUGAGCAAGAUGAUGCAAUUGAUCUUAGACUAAAAUAUAUCAUGUGUGUCUCUCAACAGUGAUAUGCAAUAUUACAAGUUUCAAUAAAAAUUCAAAGUGUCAUGUGCUUCUGUUACAAUGAUAAAAUCUUAAAUGAAGGUAAGAUAAUUAUUACUAAGAAAAAAUUUUCCAAAAAAAAGGCGAAUAAUUUAUUAAAAUUAAUGUAGAGCUUGUAAAUACAUUUGAUAUGUGUCACUAUAGCCAAUGUGAUCAAUGGUGGAAGAAGUAUAUUAGAAAGAGCAUUUGGGAGAUGCAUUCACCAAAAAACCUUCAUAACAAGGUAAAUAACAUGCAACAUAUAAUCUUUUAGCAAGAAUUUGGCUACUUAUUGUAGCGUCAUUGCUACCAAUUACUUAUAAAAAGUUGAGAAGGAAUCUAUGAGAUAUGUGGGCAAGAAAUCUUUUAUAACUAUAAGUAUCAUAAUUGUCUAAGUGUCAUGAAUUUAAAAUACUGAUUGAAAAUCUAAACAAGAAGCUCAAGAAGAAUCAACAAGAAUUAGAUUAAUCAGAUGAGUAUAAGAACAAUACUAGAGAGGUGAGCUAGAGCUCCAAGAGAUGUAUUGUUGAGACUAAGGAUCCCCUCAUUCUUGGCUCCUAUAUAUACUACAAGCUAAGAAGCUUUUCAAGUAGCUUCCACAAACUAGGAAGCUUCUCAAGUAGCUUCUACGAGUUAGGAAGCUUUUCAAGCAACUUCCACAAGCUAGGAAGCUUAUCAAGCAGCUUCCACGAGCUUGAAAAUUUUUCAAGUAGCUUCUACAAACUACAAAGCUUCUCUAGAACCUUCUAAAAUCUUCUACAACUUUCUAGUGUAUGUCCUUAACAUCACCCUCACUUUAGCUUCGAGGUCUCCGAAAAGCACUCCUAUUGCGAGUCAGUAUCAAUGCAAGAAAUUGAAAAUUUAUCACAUAGUGUUUGUAAUAUACUCCAAUUGUUGUUUACAUGGCAAGUAGUUCAUUGGUCCUUGUAACCAAUGAUAGUGUCCUAUGCCUUCGAUUUUCCACCAAAUAAGAACUUCUGUGUCUUCAUUGUGAAAAUGCCCUGCAAACAUUCCUUUGAGAAGAUCACCACAAGCAGGUUCUACCUCAAACACAAUCAAUAGCGACCUGUUAUUAAGUAUCCUCUGUCGUCUUCGUAGUACAUGCGGUGCCGUAAUGUGUGAAGUCUUGCUUGAGAAUGCUCCUGGCACUUGGCUGUAGAAGGAAGAAUAGAAAUUGCGAUAACAAAAUCCUAAUUCUAAUAGAAUACUAACAAUGCUCUAAUUAGACUAUAAUAAUAGUAAACAAACGUAAUCAAAUUCAAAAUAAUUCAAAGAAAUUUCAAACAAACAAUAAUUUUUUUAAAAAAAUAUUAGAAUGAUUACAAAUAUUACUCAAAUAUAUGUCAAUUCAACCUUAAUUUAAUUCUAGUUAAAACCCUAUUGAAUUUCACUCAAACUUUAGACCAAACCUAAUUAAAUCUUAAAUCCUAAUAAAUCCUAAACUCUAAGUCAAAUCCUUAACAAACCUUAAAUUAAACCCUAAAUCAAACCCUAAACCAAAUCCUAAAUCUUAAAUCAAAUCCUAAAUCAAACCCUAAAUCAAACCCUAAACCAAACCCUAAACCCUAAUCCAAACUCUAAUCCAAUCCUAAAUCCUAAUUCAAACCCUAAAUCCUAAAUCAAACCUUAAAUCAAACCCUAAAUCAAACCCUAACCAAAUCCUAAUCCAAACCCUAAAUAAAAUCCUAACCGAAUUCUAAAUCCUAAUUCAAAUCCUAAUCCAAAUCUUAAAUCAAAUCCUAACCAAACCCUAAUCCAAAUCCUAAACUCUAAAUCAAACCCUAAAUCGAACCCUAACCAAACCCUAAUCUAAAUCCUAGUAAUUCCUAUGAUAGAUUUAAACCUCAAUAUCUAAUAAAUAAACCAUUGAUCUCAAUUCAAAAUUUAUAUAUUUCUUAAAAAUUAAGUUUAAAAUAAGUAAAAAAAAAAUUUGAAAAGGAUCGGAGUUACUAAAUUGACAAAAACCUCAAAAAUGUGUUCGGGUGUUAGCCGGCCUCCUUCUCCAAUCUUGAUGCCAACCUUCCAGAGCUAAUUUCUCUUCUUUGUGCCGUUCGAUUGGUUUCAAAUUUCUCAAGGACAUAGAAAAACAAGUCUAAUAUCUUCUCACAUAAGUUUUACUUCAAUCCAACUAGUAGAUUGCAUGAAAACUUAAAAACACUCACUGGACCUAAAAUUCUACUUUCUAAGACCUUGACCCGCUUAAACCUCAAUAUCUCUCACUUCAACUGUUAGAUCGAGCUCAAAUUCACAAAAUGUAUUUAACACAACUAUAAACAUGAAUCCAAAAAUUUCACCUGUAGAUCUGCAACAAAACUCUCGAAAUCACUCAAAACAUAAAUCCUAUUUUAUUUCAUAAAACUCAAGUCAUCCAAAACAAACCUCUACUUUGCAAAGCUCUUACAAAGUCAUAUCAACUCCAAAUCAUCCAAAAUCAACGUCCAUAGAAACCCUAUCCAAUCUUCUAUCAAAUCCCACUUUCCGAUCUGCCAAAGAGUCCUAGAGUCGUCGUCGAGACUCAGUUUUGUGCCUUAGGAUCUGAUUUAGACCCUAGUUCAUAACCGGUCCUCUUUGGGUAUCAACUUUCAUCUUCUUGAGGUAAUUUUUACUAAUUUGCACUCCUAACUCUUCCCUAUAUAUGUCUAUAUCCUUUAUUUUUCUAAUCUACCUCGUUUUGCCUUACUUAUGGCCUUACAAAGUAAAUAGAAGUAUAAUUUGUAAAAAGGCAGCAUUAGCAUCUUUAAUUUUUCUACCUUUUUACUAAUAUCUAUUUUUCCAAGAUAAUUUGCUACAAUAUUUUUGAAGUAAGAUCCUCAAAACAUGAUAUAUUUCUUCACCCUUUCACCUACUAGUCAUAUUACAUCAGGACAGUGAUUCUUCAUCUCGGGGUCGUCUUCAUGAAAUACUCAGUUGAGAAGACAUGAAUGGUAUGGUAUUGAUCUCUUGGCUAUCCAUAUUAGACCGAAAAAUAUAAGCACUAAACAUGGAAGAAAGGGCUCAAGUUACAAAUUUAUAGUCUCUAACUAUGUCUUUUAGAAGUUCCUUCUCCCCCUUCUUUGUAAGGCUGAAGAUUAAGAGACUUCAAGGAGAAGGAACUUCACUGAAAAACUUUCAUCAAAAGGGCUUAGAUUUUUGAGGAUAGCGUCGAUGAAACUCUUGUACCUUUUGCAAUGUAUUGAUAAGAUUUUUUGCUAGUUCCCAUGUGUGCUCAUUAAUAUCAUAGUCGCUCUAAUGCACUGAAUACUCUAAUUUCUCCCACUUACGCCGUAAAUCUAGUACCUUUUUCACCUUAUAUUCCUCGUGGUUCUCAAUUUCAAUACUAGGUGGCAGACAUUGUAUUCUUCUAGAAAAAGAUGACUCUCAAUAAGGCUCUAAUAAAGAAACAUGAAAGAUUGGGUAUACCUUCAUAGCAGCCGAUAAUCCCAGAUGGUACGCCACUGGAUUGAUUUGCUUCUAGAUGAAAAAUGGUCUCAAUCUGCAGUAGUCCAACUUAUCACAUGGCUACUUGGUUUUGAUAUUCCGUCAAAGCAGCCAUACUUUAUCUCUAAUUUUGAAAGUAGAUGCUUGAUUUCAAAAUUUGUCUGUGGACGCCUUGUAAGCUUCUUGGGCGGUUAGCAAUUGAAGCUUCAAUAUAGUUUGAAGCUCUAAUAGUUGUUUCACAAAUCCUUGAGCUGUUGGGUUGUUAUUAGUUGAUGGACUCAACAAAUCAUGCUUCGGAUGAUACCCAUAGUUUGAAAAGAAUGGUAUUUGUUGAGUCGACGCAUGAAGGGUGUUGUUAUAUGCAAACUUGGCUAAUGAUAGAUAUGCAGUCCAAUCAUCUUGCUGAUAGUUGAUGUUGCAUCGUAAAUACUGCUCCAAAUUUUGAUUCACUCGUUCUGUUUGGCCAUCAAUUUGAGGAUGAAAAGCCAAAGAAAGCUUGAUAUCCAUCUUCAAUACCUCAAAGAGAGAUCUCCAGAACUUUGAUACGAAUUGAGUUCCUCUAUCCAACAUGAUAUCAUCUAAUAAACCAUGAUAUUGAUAUACACUAUCAAAGAAGAGCCUUGCUGUAUCUUUGCUUGACGAUGUUUUCUUGCAAGAAAAAAAGUGUGUCAUCUUUGUAAGCCAAUCUACCACAACAAAGAUGAUGUCAAAUGAAUUUGAUGGUGGUAGGUCUGUAAUAAAGUUGAUAAAAACUAAAGACCAUAGCCAACGUGGAAUAGGCAAUGGCUGAAGUAGAUCAUAAGGACGAUGUCGAGAGUUCUUGGAUCUUGAACAAAUGUCACAAAAGAGGAUAAAAUCCUUGACAUCCUUCCACAUUUGGAGCCACCAAAAAUCUCGAGAAAUAAGUUCCAAGGUCUUAUUGAAUCCAAAAUGUCCCGCUGUCAGGAUAGAGAGAGUUUGCCUCGAGAAAAUGCUGGGCUUCUGGCUGUCACUAAUUAUUCAAUCAAGCUUGAAAGUAAGGGAAGCCCUAAGUUUAUAUAUAAUUUUUCUCUUUUUGAGUAAUUACACCAAAUACACAAUCCUCAAGUAACCCACAACUUCCAAAAUAUGAUAAAAUCUUCUAAAUCCUUAUUUAUUCUUAUAUGGAGAUUUUUCCAAACUUCAACACCUCAUAUCUCUUAAUCCGACCGUCCAAAGAAACUCAAAUUUUACAUGAGGUACUGAUGUAUUCUUAUUAACUUCUACAACAAUUUUCAACCGAAAAUUCAUUGCAGAUUUUGAGAUAUCUUGAAAUCCCUAACAGUCACUUCAAACCCUUGUCUUUAUACAUCUGCGUGCAAAUUUCUUCAUAUCUCACAAAACAUAAGAUCAAAUUCCACGAAAUUUGUAUUUAUAACUUUUUAACAGAAAAUUUUACAUUUUCCAAAAAGUUUGAAUCAAAAAUUCGUCCGAAAACUCAAGUUAUGGCUUCAACCAUUACUACAAACAAACUUGCUUACUUACUGCUUUUGAUUUGGAAGCGUCGCCUUCAACUCCUUACAACUCCUUCAUAUGAACUCCAAAAGCAAUAAUUCUUUCAUAAAAGAUGUAGGCCUUAAAAUCGCCGUUUCAGCCGCAUCUUCCGAUCUUUAAAGGCUACUGUGAAACUCCUCGUACUCUCAAAAGAAUAACAGUAUGUCUUAAAUAAACACCUUAAUUUCAAACGGUUAUAACUUUUUCACCCUAACUCCAAAUCUUCUAAUUUUUAUACACAAAUUGUUCUCCAAACCCUAAACUUUACAAUCCUAGCUUCUAAUCUUCGAAUGCCUCCGAAAGAGGAACCCUAAUCUCUAAUAAGGCCUCGGGCAACCUCCUCAAAGCCCAUUGGGCAUGGUAUUCGACCAAUAGAGAUGAAGUUUCCCAUUUCUUGCCUUCAUCCGACCAUGCCUUACUUUCAUUUCUUUCAAUUAGCCUCCUACUAGUUUAAAUUUUCAUACUUAGGUUUCCACCUUCUUCCAAGGCUUCAUACUAAACAUUUAGGUCAUAUAUAUAUAUAUAUAUAUAUAUAUAUAUUUUAAUAUCAAAAUCAAAAGAAGUAAAGAAAUAAAGUAAAGUUUCUUAUACCAAAUCCUUUUAAUUUAAUCUACUAGCCACUCUAACACACAUCUAGAUUUAUCAAUAUAUAAUAUGUUUUAGCUAAUUUUUACAUACUGUAAGCAUUUACAAUAUGACACCGCAACUGAAAAAUCAUGUCGAGAUUGGAGAACUUGAAGUUGUGCUGGUCCCUUUGGAAUAUACAACUGCUCCUCAAAGUAUAAAAGAUCUCUUUCAAUCUUGAAUUUGUCAUUAUUGAUACGUUGUAUGAUAUCAAGGGCUACAGAAUCUCUAAUAGUUGUAGUACAUACUUGGUUGAGGAAGUCAGCAUCAAUUGGCACUAUAGCAGAGCAAAGCGUGAACUAUUUUGACUUCAACAAUGUUGUACACUGUUGAUCAAAUGCUGUUUCUCUAAUCUUUGGCACUAGAUACGAGCUCUUUGAUAAUGAAUCGGAUAGUCCUUGUUGCUUCCUAGGUCGAUAAGUAAUAACAAAGUCAAACCUCGAUAGUAACAUAUUCCAUUGAGCUUCAUAACAAUUCAGAACUUGAGCCGACAUGAAGUACUCCAAAUUCUUAUGAUCCGUGUAUACGGUGUUAAAUUAUAAUACGAGUAUAUCGUAAAAAUAUAAAGAAAGGGGACUUUUAUUAAUGUUCAAUUACCUCAAAUAUUGGAAGCAACGACCAACUCCAGUGCAAAUACUGAGUGGCCAGGUAUGAGACCUGAAUUGGUCGGGCGAUUCAAUGUGGUCCCGAUUGCGGGCUCCAAUUCUGUUUCAGGCUGUUCCGUCCUUUGUACCGUUCCAGAAACGUCCUUUCGGUAAAAGGAUCUCUUAAAGGUAAAAACGGAGGAGAAAGCUCUGACGACGGAGCCAAUUCCAGAUCCAAGACAGAAGGAGCCAAUUUCGGAUCCAAGCUUGAUGGCGGAUGCCAAUUUCGGAUCUAAGACGGAAGAUUGAAGAAAUUCAGAGGAUAAGGUUUAGGAGAGGAAGUUUUUGGGGAAGAGAAGUUUUUUUUUGAAGGUUUUGAGAAGGAUCGAAGAGAAGCUUCAUACUUCGGGUCGGGGAAGAAAAGACAGAGAAUUGGGUUUUUCUUCUUCAUAGGGUUUUAGAAAGACUGAAGCAAUUGUUGCUGAAGUCAGUGUUGUAAUAGUGAAUCGAGAUUUUUAAUGAAGUGGGUGUGAUCACUCUUGACUGUUUUGUGAAAUCGGAGUUACGUCUGUGAUUGGAGAAUUAAAAGGGUGUCUAUAGGAUUGAGUAUGCGGAGUGAAUGAAAUUUGUUGGGUUAAUCUAACGAGAUAGUCAGUGGAUACAAGAUCGUGAGUACAAAGCGAUAUCGAAGAUUAGUAGUUUGGGUUGUUCGGGGUUCUCUAUAACGUCUAGAGACCUACUGGCUGGGGCAAAAGAGACUUUGGCGAGCAGUCGAAGGACAUCUGUAUAGAUUUACGAUAUAUUCUUGUAGUCGUUUAUAUUCCAAUAGUCAAUAAUUGAUAAACUGCUUGAAUAUUGGCGAAUCUCCAUACUACCUUCUACAGCCAGACGUCUGGCGCGUUCUCGAGCAAGAAAGCACGUAAUACGACAAAAGUGGUAAACCUGACGUGAAAGCUUGAGGUGGAAGGUAUUGGAUUUCGGUUGAUUUUGUCUUUAUUUUAUGGAAAACGAAAAUAAAAAUUUUGAAGGAUUUUUGGGAGGAGUUUCUGGUGGAGAUUCUUCUAAAGGACAAGGUAUGCACAUGGAUCCGUCUAUUGCUAGUAUGUUUCAAGCCUUCUCAUUAUCAAUGCAGCAACAACAAAGCAAUGAUCGAAAGGAAGCUUUGGCAACCAAAGCAUUGCAAGCAGUGGUCAAUAAAAUUGAUCAAUUUGAUGGGAGGAAUAUUUCAAGGUAUUUAAGAUAUUAUGUUCGUGAAAUGGAAUUAAAUCGGAUUUCUGAGAAGAAAAUGGUUGAAUUACUUUGACUUCCACGAUACCGGAGAUAAGAGACCACAUUACAUCGAUUACGGAUCGUUAUGAGAAUUCAUGGGAGGUUUUUUCACAUGCAUUGAAAGACGAAUAUUUCUUGGAAGAUGCUGAUAGAGUUACUAAGAAGUUGUUUCUGGAAUGGAUUGAAUGGCCCAAUAAGAAUUUGCAAGCAAUAGAGCUACUAAGGGAAUUUGAGAGGCAGUACUCUCAAUUGUCGAAGGUAGAAAAAUUGACAUUGGAGCCGAACAAAGUUGAUCUUCAAGCUGCUGAUGGAGAAUUGUAAGGAAAAUUAGAAUUCCUUCUUGAAGACAAAGAAGAAGAUGAAGGAUUGACAACGAAGUGGAAGAACAUUGAAGAUGCGGUGAGGUUGCUUACAAAAAAAGAAAGGAGGAAGGAUAGGAGCAAUAUUCCGAAAACAGUACAAGCACCCAAAGCUCCAGUACGUACAACACCACCAACAAUGCCUAUAGUUCAACCUUCGACAUCCUUAUCAAAGAAAGCAAAUAUGAGGAUGGAAGAAAUUAAACGAGGAAUGUGAGAUCUUCAAAUCAAAUUGGCAAGACUUGAAGAGAAUACUUCUAUAAAUAAUUCGAAAAAUGUUUCAAAACAAGGAUAUGUACAAAGAUAUAUUUGGUGUGAUGACGCUUCACACACUAAAAAAGAUUGCAAUGAAUUUAAUAAUAUGAUACGACAGGGAAUUAUUUGCUGGAAAGAUGGGAAGAUAGCAUUGAAAGAUAGAGAGGAUCUUCUUCAAACCAAUUUUGACAAGGGAGGAAUGAGAGCAUUGGUUCAAGAUUACCUAAAAGAGCAUGAAACAGCAGCACGAGAAAGUGCAAGUUAUGGUGCUAGAGUAGAUGAUGAAAUUGGUGGAAGUACGGAAACUAGUGAGUUUUGGACUUCUGCCGUUUCUACAAUGCAAGAAGGGAAAUUACCUCGAGAAGCGUUAGUGAGGACUGCAGCUACAAUACGAGGUGCAAUAGGUUGGGAAGAUCCUGUUGAGUCUCUUUCAGUUCAUGCAUAUAUUGCUAAGAGCCAACAUGAAGCUUUGAUGGAAGAAAAGAGACAAGGAAAUUUUGAUGAUACGAAAGAAGGAAAUUCUUCUAAGAGGCAAACUCGAGGAGACAAGGCUCGGGAGGCACCUUCAUAAGAAUUGCCUGUAAAGGAUACCUCAGCAUCAUUGGGAGAAAAAACAAAGGAGACAAAAGAUAAGGGUAAAUCAAUUGCUUAUAAGCUACUUUUUGACAUUGAAGUGGCAACAAAUUUGAAAGGAGUGUUGGAAGAACGUAUAUUAAACGCUAAGGUAGAAUUCACAUUGAAAGAAGUCUUGGAAAUUGCAAAGAAGGAAUUUCAUGAUGUUAUCAUUGACAGUAUUAAGUGAAAGAGGUAAUUAAUGGACGAAACUGGAAUGAGUCAUGCUAUUGAUGCAAGAAUAUACAAAGAUGAAGAAGAGGUUGAUAUUGGUUACAAGCAACCAACAAAUGAAAAGAAUGGGUAUAAUCAACAAGUACAUUUCGAAGAUUAUAGUGAUAAGGAAAUGAAAACUUUGAGCCAUUAUACUCGAAAGCAUUGGGCAAGGGCAACUACUGAGGUAUUGGUGAGAGUAGGAGAUAUAGAAGAACCAAUAGUUGCUUUAGUCGACCAUGGUUCUGAAAUAAAUCUCAUGUCUAAAGAUCUUUAUAAGAAGCAAAAAUGGCCAAUUGAUAUGGAACAUGGAUGGGCAAUUCGAGCAGCUAAUAACACAUGGGGCGAAUUAUAUGGAGCUUGUUCAGAUGUCAAAAUUCGGAUUGGAGAUGUUGCGACGGAGCAACAUUUUUUUGUUCAAGAUACAACGUCUUAUCCGUUGAUUUUAGGACAACCUUAUAUUACAGCAAUACGGAUGGAAACAAAAGUACUUGACGAUGGUUCUGCUUAUGCAAGGAUACGUAGCGAGGAUGGGAGGAAAGCUGUACAAUUUCUAACAGUACCUCCUAACCAUGAACGGAAUCGACAUAGGUUGAGGGAGAAACCAUUGCCAAAGAUUGUUGAAGGAUUUAAGGAUUUUGGGGAGGUACCACUGUAAAGUGAGAUUAUGGAGGUACAAAAGAGGAGGUACUCUCGCGAGAUGAAGGUGCCUUUGAUGCGAGUUUUAUUGGUAUAUUGGAGAAUGGAAAUAUUAUGUAUAAGAAAGUUGGUGAUUUUAAAAGAAAAGAAAGAAAAAGAUUAUAUAGUAUUGAAGGAGAAUUAUGCAAGUUAGGUACAUUGCAAGAUGAUGAGAGGAUUUUAGGUGUUUAUGAAGAAAAUGGACUGGAAGAUUCAUUGGAAUUGAUUACAUCUAUUGGGUUAGGGGAUAAUGAUAAGAUUGUUGAGAUUCAUUCAAGAGAGGUUUAUACCAUGCUUGAAACUUUUCAACCACCAAAAAUCACUGUAGAGACGAGAUAUAAAAUGGCAGAUAAGAAAGUAAAGCUUGUUGCCAGACCAUUACUAGAAGAUUCUAAAGAACAAAUGGAAAAAGCAUCAAUAGAAGCAAGUUUAAGAGAUCCAAUGAGUAUUGGACAUCAGUUUACUAAAGAGACUUUUGAAGAAUUGAAGAUUGAUUCUGAUGGUUCUUUAUUGUCGGAAGAAAUUACUUGCUUUAAAAAGAUGUUGGCUAAACAAGGUAGAUCAUUUGCUUUCAAAUCUCAUGAAAUUGGGUGUGUGGAUCCGAAUAUUAUAACACCUAUGGUUAUCUUCACUGUACCGAAUGUACCUUAGAAUCUAAGACCGAUUCUAGUACCAAGGAUACAUUUACCUAAAUUGAUUGAGCUAUUAAAAGAAAAGAUAAAGAUGAAAAUAUUAGAACCCUCGUUUGCACCAUAUUCUAGUCGAUGGUUUAUGGUACCUAAGAAGAAUGGGUCACUAUGGUUUAUUCAAGAUAUGCAACCGGUGAAUGCAGUAACUGUCAGAAAUGCAGGAAUUGGACCUAUUGUGGAUGAAUUUGCUGAGGCGUUUGCUGAAAGGGCGAUCUAUUCAAUGGGUGAUUUGUAUUCAGGUUAUGAUCAAUUUCAACUUGUCGAAGGAAGUAGAGAUAUGACAACGAUGAGGACACCGCUUGGAUUGGUUAGAAUGUGCACUCUUCCUCAAGGCGCGACCAACUCAGUUGCACAUAUGAUGAAUGGGAUGAAUAAGGUAUUGAGAGAUUUUAUUGCGGAAAAGAUUAUGCCUUUUCUGGAUGAUGUUCCUAUAAAAAGGUGCAAAAAAGGAGACAAGGAUGAAACUUUAGAUACGAGGGGGUGUCGCAAAUAUAUUGUUGAUCAUAUACAAGAUUGUGAAAAGAUUUUAACUCGGCUUGGAGAAGUUCAUCUUACAUUAUUGGGUAUAAAGUCUGUAUUUGGAAUACGAGAGGUUGUAAUUAUUGGACAUUUAUGUGGAUCUUACGGAAGAAAACCAGAUCCGACUAAAGUUGAUGCAAUUGGAAGGAUGAAAGAGGAUUGUGAUUCUUUAAUAGAGGUUCGCAGGUUUUUGGGUACAUGUGUAUUUUAUUGAAUCUGGAUCCCUCACUAUGCUCACAUAGCGGAUCCAUUAUAUGAACUGUUACGCAAGGAUUACCGAUUUAAAUGGGAAGAAAGGCAUAUUCAGGCAAUACAGAGAUUGAAGAAAUUAUUGAUGUCACCUCUAAUAUUAAAGAAGGUUGAUUAUAAGUACAAUAGACCAGUGAUUCUUACUAUGGACGCUAGUCCAAUUGCCAUUGGAUGGGCUGUGGGUCAAGAUGAUUCAAAUGAGAAUAGAUUUGCGGUUCGAUUUGGGGCUAAAGUUUUAAGUAUUCGUCAGCGUGCAUAUUCGCAAGUCAAAAGAGAACUUUGGGGUGUUGUUUCGGCUAUGAAAGCUGAAAGGGCUAUUUGAUUGAGAUAGUAGUAGUAAUUGAAACAGAUUGCUUGCCAUUGCUUGGAAUGAUUAUUAACUGUUCAACGCCAGAUAUUGCAAUGUUGAGAUGGAUUGCUUAUAUUAAGUCACUAAAUCCAGAAUUUAAGCAUAUUAUUCGGAAGGACAAUUUAGUAGCAGACAUGCUAUCUCAAGUAAGAUACGAGAGGGAGGACGAAAUGGUUGAAGACAUUGAUGAUGUCGGAUUGAAAUUCUAUUCAAUAUCAAAUUUCAACAGAGAAGACAAGCUAUUUCUUGAAGAAUCUUAUGAAGGAGAAUUAUUGGAUAUUGGUCAUUACUUGAAUACCUUGACUAAGCAAGGGAAUUGGUCUAUAAAAAAAUUCAAACAAAUAAGAAAAAAAGCAUAUAGAUUUUUACUUCGACAUGGAUUCUUAUGAAAGAAACCGAAGAAAGGAAUUGGGAUGCCACGACGAGGGAUAGGCAAAAGGGAAGAAAAACUAAAAUUAUUAAAGGAUUUUCAUAAUAGUUUAUGGGCAGGGCAUAGAGGAAUCUAGGCUACUUUUGCUAAUUCAAGGAACGAUAUUGGUGGAAAAAUAUGUAUCGAGAUGUGCUGUCAUUUGUAGAGUCAUGUGGAAUCUGUCAAUCGUAUUCUAAUAUCCGACAUCGAGAUGGUCUUCAUCCUACGUAUCCUCUGGCUAUUCAUUUUAAAUGGGUUGUUGAUUUGGUUUUUAUGCCGAUUGGGUUAUGGCAGAUGAGAGAUUUGGUUUUAGCUCAUAAAGAUUUAUCAAAUCAAGUAGAAGGAAGAGCAUUGAGGACAAAAUCUACAGAGGGAAUUUGUAGGUUUUUGCUUGAAGAUGUCAUUUGCCACUACGGAUGCGUAGGAAAAAUCACUGUAGAUCGUGGAGAAUUAAAUGCACAAGAAGCUCGUAAGUUCUUUGAAAGAUGUGGAGUUAAACUAUCACUGACUACUGCUUAUAAUCCAGAAGGGAAUGCAAAGAGCGAACGCGGUCACCCACCGAUUAUGAAAGCAUUAGUUAAAGCUUGUAAUGGGAAAGUUAAAGAGUGGCCACGGCUAUUGUCAUUUGCAUUAUGGGCUGAUCAAACAACACAUAGUUCGGUGAUAGGAUAUAUGCCAGUAGAACUUAUGACAGGUCAAAAACCAAUUAUGCCGAUUGAAGAAAAGGUACUUACUUGGAGGAUGCUACCAUGGGAAGAUGGAUUGACAAGAGAAGAACUUCUGGCUAUUAGGAUUCGACAAUUGGAGCAAAGAACGGAAGAUGUCCAGAUAGCAUUGGGAAGGUUAAAAAGAGCAAGGUUACAAAAUAAGGCACGAUUCGACAAGCAACAUCGAUUGAGACCUAAAGCAAUCGAGGAAGGUGGCUAGGUACUUGUUUAUGACAAUAGUCUAGAUAAUCAACAUAGUACUUUGCAGAAAUUCUCAAAACGUUGGUUUGGACCAUAUAUAGUAAGAACUGUUCAUGAUAAUGCGACUUACUCAUUACGGGAGUUAGAUGGUACAAAAUUGAAAAUACCAAUUGCAGGGAAGUGAGUAAAAAUAUUUAAACAAAGACACGCGGAGAUGAAUAUGGAAGACCUUAAUGAAGGUAUAGAGAUUUCGCAGCAAGAAGAUGAAAGUGAUUUGGAAAAUGAAGGUGACGACGAACUGGACAAAGACGUAGAGGAUAUAUUCUGAAUCAAAUAGCAAUUGGGUAAAUUAGUGCAUACCGGACGAUGCACAGGUUAAGAGGAGGUGGAUGUCGUGUUAUAACACGAGUAUACCGUGAAAAUAUAAAGAAAGGGGACUUUUAUUAAUAUUCAGUUACCUCGAAUAUUGGGAGCAACGACCAACUCCAGUGCAAAUACUGAGUGGUCAGGUUCAGUCACCCCGUUACAGUCAGCCGGGGCAUACUGAAAUGCUCCGUUCGAUUCCAAUAACGAGAGUCAGCACGAAGAGAAAGGACCAAUUCACACGAUGGGUGAGCCUGGUUCGAAGAGCCAAUUGGAUCCAAUUUCAAGAAUCCAAUCCGGAUCAUCUUAUCCAAUAUGAGACCUGAAUUGGCCGGGCAACCCAAUGCAGUUUAAUUAGGGGAAAAUCCAAGUCUUACUACGGGCCUCAGCCAAUCUGACGCGAAGGACCAAUUUGAUCCAAUUACCAGAACAUUCGGGUCUUACUACUGGACUCUUAGCCAAUAUGAGACCUGAAUUGGUCGGGCGAUUCAAUGUGGUCCCGAUUGCGGGCUCCAAUUCCGUUUCAGGCUGUUCCGUCCUUUGUACCGUUCCAGAAACGUCCUUUCGGUAAAAGGAUCUCUUAAAGGUAAAAAUAGAGGAGAAAGCUUUGACGACGGAGCCAAUUCCGGAUCCAAGAUGGAAGGAGCCAUUUUUGGAUCCAAGCUCGAUGGCGGGAGUCAAUUCCGGAUCUAAGACGGAAGAUUGAAGAAAUUCAGAGGAUAAGGUUUAAGAGAGGAAGUUUUUGGGGAAGAGAAGUUUUUUUUUGAAGGUUUUGAGAAGGAUCGGAGAGGAGCUUCAUGCUUCGGGUCGAGGAAGAAAAGACAGAGAAUUGGGUUUUUCUUCUUCAUAGGGUUUUAGAAAGACUGAAGCAAUCGUUGCUGAAGUCAGUGUUGUAAUGGUGAAUCGAGAUUUUUAAUGAAGUGGGUGUGAUCACUCUUGACUGUUUUGUGAAAUCGGAGUUACGUCUGUGAUUGGAGAAUUAAAAGGGUGUCUAUAGGAUUGAGUAUGCGGAGUGAAUGAAAUUUGUUGGGUUAAUCUAACGAGAUAGUCAGUGGAUACAAGAUCAUGAGUACAAAGCGGUAUCGAAGAUUAGUAGUUUGGGUUGUUCGGGGUUCUCUAUAACGUCUAGAGACCCUACUGGCUGGGACAAAAGGGACUUCGGCGAGCAGUCGAAGGACAUCCGUAUAGAUUUACGGUAUAUUCUUGUAGUCGUUUAUAUUCCAAUAGUCAAUAAUUGAUAAACUGCUUGAAUAUUGGCGAAUCUCCAUACUACCUUCUAUAGCCAGACGCUUGGCGCGUUCUCGAGCAGGAAAGCACGUAAUACGACAAUGGUCCCCAGAUGUGCAGCUCUUUUAAGAAAGUGACACCACUCUUGAAAAGAAUCCACUAUCGCAAGAAGUUCUUUAUCGUGGAUCUCUUAGUUGAUCUCAGUAGCUAAAAACUUUUGAGAGUAGAACACAAUCGAAUGAAGCUUCUCAUCUAUGCCUAUCUACAAAAGUACAGCUUUUAUAGAAAAAUUUGAAGCAUUGGUCUCCAAAUAGAAGGCCUUUGCCAAGUCCGGAUGUACCAAGAUUGGAACUAUAGUAAAUGCCAUCUUAAGAUCUUGAAAUGCUUUUUCUGUUAGAGGUCUCCAUUCGAGCUUGUCUUUACAUGUCAACUGAGUGAGUAGAGCACCAACUUGAGAAUAAUUUUUGAUGAAGAUCCGAUAGGAGUUAGCAAAGCCAAGAAAGCAUUAUACAUCUCUAAUCGUCUUCAGAACUUCCCAUGAUACAGUUGCUUCCACCUUCUUAGGGUCCAUCUUCAAACCUUCCGUAGUUGCAAUGAAUUCCAAAAAUUCCAUCUCAGUUUGGUUAAAUAAGUACUUCUCCAAUUUGACAUAAAGUCCUUGCUUGCAAAGUUUUUCAAGGACAAGACGAAUGUGUUUCUCAUGCUCUUCUAUAUUCUUGGAAAAUAUCAAAAUAUCAUCUAGAUAGAUGACAAUAAAAUCAUUAAGAUGCUCUUGAAAGAUGUUAUUUAUCAUGUAUUGAAAGACCAAUGGAGCAUUGGUAAGACCGAAAGGCAUGAUAUUAUAUUCAAAAUGGCCAUACCUUGUACGAAAAGCUGUCUUCCAUUUGUCUCCUUCCUUGAUUCGCACGAGGUUGUAAGCUCCUCUUAAAUCAAUCUUUGUAAAGAUCCUUGUAUGCCCAAGUUGCUCUAAAAGACUUCAUAUCAAGGAUAAUGAAUAAUGAUUCUUCUUUGUCACCUUGUUAAGACCUCGAUAAUCCAUCUACAUCUGUAGCAAGCCAUCUUUCUUCUUCACAAAUAAGAUUGGUGCCCUAGUUGGCAACUUUGAAUGACAAAUGAAGUUCUUGGCUAGAUUCUUGUCAAUGUACUUUUACAACUCUGCUAACUUCGUCUACGACAAAUUAUAGAUUGGACCAAAAGAUGGUUGUGUUCCUUCUUGUAAAUCUAUGGCACAAUCAUAUGGUCGAUGCUUUGAUAACAUGUCGCCAUUCUUCUUUUGAAAUACGUCUUCAAAAUCUUUAUAUUGCUCUAAUAUAUUUAUUGUCAAAAUCUUCUCUCUACUAGUUGGAGUUGAAUAAAUGACAAAUAAUGUGCCUUCCUUGGACAAUGUUAUAAACGCUCUUGCUCCAAUAAAUAAGAAUUUUUUUGAUUUUAGAUCUUCUAACAAACUUACUUUUAGAAUAUUCUAUAGAAAAUAUCAUCUUUCAUAACCUCCAAUCUAUAAAUGGAUUAUGCAUUUUUAACCAAGAAAGACCAAGAAUAAUAGGGUUUGAUGGAGUUUUAAUAAUAUUAAAAAUAAUAUAACUACUAUGGUCUUUAAACGUCACCUCUAUAGGUUCUGAUUCAUGGAUGACACUACCAGAUAAUAAAGGUCAUUCAUCUAUUACUUCUACAUGAACGGGUUUAGGUUUUUGUACUAGAAGAAUCUUGUGACGCUUAGCAAAUUCUUUGUCUAAAAAGUAAGCACAUACUCUUAAAUCCAAUAAUGCUAAGAUUUUUAAUUUUUGAGGGCCAAAAGAUAGAGGAAUGGUAAAGCAAUGGAUAGGCUGAGCGAAAAGAGAGGAAUCUGAUUGUUGUUGUGGUAUUAAAUUUUUUAGCCGCACGGUCCCUAUUGUGGCUGGGCAUCUUUGUUUUCCUGAACAAACACGCCUUUGGUCCUGACAAUGCGUCGAUUUUGCUUCUUGGGGCAGUUUCUAGCUUUGUGGUCUUCUUCACCAUAAUAGAAGCAUAGUCUUUCUUCUAUAUGUCACUUUUUUUCUUUUAGAGUUAAGGAUUUGACACGUACCACAUUAAUUUGUAUGUCUUCCAUCUCUGAAUGUGAAUUUAGGCUGGUUGCUGAUAUAAUUGGAGCUUGGUGAGCCAUAUGUUGUCUUGAGUGUUGGUCUUGGCGAUGUUGGAAUAGGCGAUUAUCAUACUUUACAGCUUAGCUAAUGGCUUCGUUGAACAUUUGCAGAUCGGGAAGAGAUAAUAAUAAAUCCUUCACAUCGUCCCCCAAGCCCCAAUAAAAUUGACUCAAUUAUGCUUCCUCGUCCCAGUUGAUGUCACAUGCUAAUUGUCUAAAAUCUUAUGCAUAGAUUGAUGUCGAGCGUGUCCUUUGUCGUAGUGACCAAAUCUUUGUUGUAGUCCAUCGUGCCUUGUCAUAUUUGCCAAAUGCUUCCGUAAAUGCCUCCAAAAAAGUUUUGAAGUUUUUCAAAAUUGACAAUCAUUUCUCAAACAAAUGAGAAAACCAUGAUAGAGCUUUCCCCAUGAGCAAAGUUCCAAACAGUCCAAUACUUGACUCCUCCGUCGGAUAGCAUUUAGGCUAUAAAGUUGUUAUCAAUCUAAUUUGAUUGAUAAAACCUUGAAACUUGGAACACGUACCAUUGAACUUAUUUGAAAGGCUAAUUCGGUUCUCCUUUCAUUGUAAGACCAACGGUCCUUGUUGAAUUAGAGCCAAAGUUGCUUCUCUUGAUGUUGAAGCUUGAGGCUAAUGAAUCCUCGAUUGUACCAUCCCAAAUGCUCCAUCAUUAUGAAGUCUUGCAAUAAUUCCUUCAAUCUCUGUAGUUCUCUAUGAUAAUGUAGCAAGAAUAUUCAUAAUGGCGUCCAAUUUGGACUCCAAACUUUCAAUCAUAUUUGUUAAAGUAAAAAUAGAAAAUGUUACCUUAUAUAGGAUAUUACCUUAGAUAAGUUACUAGUGGUCAAAGAUUUGACUCUUGGUAUAUGGUAAGGGCAUCCAAUGGAUAUAGGACGAAGUCAUGGACUAAGAGUCAAAGUCAAAAGGAUAAAUUAUUAACAAGGAAAUAUCCAAAGAUUAAAUAUGAGUCAUUAGUAUAUGUCAUAGGAUACCCUCGAAGUUUGUGAGAUGCCAAAGGAUCCUAAGAGCAUGUGUGUAAGACGUAAGAGUAAUUAAUAUUAGACAUAGAAUACUCUUGGGACUUGUAAGAUGCCAAAAGGAUCCUAGGGCCAUGUGUAUAAAAGUCAAAGAGUGGACAUUGUCUUUUAGGAUUUCAACUACCACCUAUAAGUAAUGGGUGUUGGAAGUGAGAGAUAUCUUAUUCCAUACUCUCUUUGUGUACAACCUUGCUGAUGCUAAGUGUUGUAUCUUCUAAGUACUUGUUUUCUUAAUAGGUCAUGGACCUACUCAUCUUUACUUGUCAAUUUUGAAGUACUUUGAAGUCUUUCUUGUUGUAAGGAGUAGAUCUUAUGGUUAUUGCUGAAGUUUGAGUUUGUUAUCUUCUAAUCUUUCUUAUGCAUCUAAUUGUUGAUGUAAUUUUACUCUUAUUUAUUGUUAAGUAUACUUAUAGUCUUUGUUGUUGUUAGAAUCCAUAUAAUGAUGUUUUAGAAUUCUAGUAUUAUAUUUUUUUGCUGAGAUUUAUCAUUGGUAUUCAAAUUUUGUGCUUUCAUGUGCUUAACUUCUUAAGAGAUUGUUCUAUUUUCACAAGAAGUUUUUUUUGUGAGGUUAGAAGUAUUUUGUGAGAAAAGAGGGCUGAUUGAAGAGUGGCAAAGCUUAUACAAGAGAUUUAGAUAGAGUGUAAGACUUGUGAGAAGUCUUAUAUGUGAAGUUGAGAGUGAUAUAAGAGUGAAAUCACUUGUUUACUUAUAAAGAGGGCAUUUUGGGUUUCUAAGGUAGCAACACCUUCUUGUUGAUUUUGAGAGUUCUAUAUCUUCUUUUCUUGAUUUUAUUUCACACAUCCCUUCUUUAGACAUGGCUUCAAGUGAGGGUGAGAGCUUGAGAGUGAUUGAGAAGUUUAGGGUGACAACUUUUACUAUUGGAAGAAAAAAAUGGAACUUUUGUUGGCUUCAUUGGAUUUUUGAGACAUUGUUGAUGAAAGUGAAGACCCUCCAAGUGACAAUGCUGAUAUCAAAGUGAAGAAGGAGUAUAAACGUCGUGAAAGGAAGGCUUUUGAGAUGAUUGCAACAAACCUUGAUGAUGCCAACUUUUCACAUGUUAUACCUUAUAAUGGACCAGCGGAAGCAUGGAAGACUCUUUGCAACAUCUAUGAGAGUAGAAACCUUGCCAACAUCCUUUGGACAAGGAGAAAAUUCUUGAUAGUAAAGUUGGAAGAAGGAGAUGACCUCAUGGCUCAUGUUAACAAGAUAAAAGCACUUGCUAACCAACUAGCAGUUGUUGACAAACCAGUUGAUGAUAAAGACAUUGUGUUGCCAUUACUCAUAAGCCUUCCCGAAUCCUACAACUACCUCAUUGUGGCAUUGGAGUUCAUCAACAUGAAGGAGCUUACCAUGAACUAUGUCACGUCAAGACUUACCCAUGAAGUGACCAAGAGAAAAGAAAAAGAGCUUGCAAGUGAUGAUUCGGCUCUAUUUUCAAGACAAGGCAAAGAUAGCUAUUCCCACCAACGUGAUAAUUCAAGAAGAAAUAUGAGGAAUUAAUAUAUUUGUGGGAAACCAAGUCAUUUUGCUAGAAAUUGCUACAAGGCCAAGAAAGGAGAUAGAGAGAAUGCAAACAAUGCUAGUGAUAGUUUUGGUAGAGAUGAGUAUGCUUUCAUGGCAAAAGAAAGAGCCUCCAUGGCUGCCAUGUCAAAGUGGAUUAUAGAUUCAAGUGCUACUAAGCACAUGAUACCAUAUAAGUGUUCAUUUGAUACUUAUGAAGAAAUUCCAGCAAUAAAAGUGUAGUUGGAAGACAAUGGCAUGGUACAAGCCAUUGGAAUUGGCUCCAUUGUAGUGAAAAUUGUUGUGAAGGACCAAAUGAAGAGGAUCAAAUUGAAAGAAGUCCUACAUGUGCUAAAAAUGAAGAAGAACCUCCUUUCGGUGAACAAACUUGUAUCACAUGGUUGUAAGGUUCAAUUUGACAUGAAUGGAUGUUUUGUCAAGACAUUGAAUGGCCAACAUGUUACCAAAGGCCUUAGAGAUGGAAAUCUCUACUUCAUCAAUUGCAAAAAGAUGAAUGGAGUUGAAGUAGCGGUGUCGUAGUACGUGCUUUCCUGCUCGAGAACGCGCCGGGCGUCUGGCUGUAGAAGGUAGUAUGGAGAUUCACCGAUAGUCAAGCAGUCUAUCAGUUUUGAUUGCUGGAAUAUAAACAACUGCAACAAUGUAUCGUAAAUCUAUACGGAUGCUCUUCGACUGCUUGUCGAAGUCCUUUUUGCCCUAGCCGGUAGGUCUCUAGACAUUACAGAGAAUCCCGAACAACCCAAACUGUUAAUCUUCAAUAUCACUUUGUACUUACGAUCUUGUAUCCACUGACUGUCUUGUUAGAUUAACCCAAUAAAUUUCAUUCACUCUGCAUACUCAAUCCUAUAGACACCCUUUUAAUCCUUCAAUCACAGACGUAACUCGAUUUCACAAAACAGUCAAGAGUAUUCAAAUCCACUUCAUUAAAAAUCCCGAUUCACCAUUACAAUACUGACUUCAGCAGCGAUUGCCUCAGUCUUCCCAAAACUCUACGAAGAAAAAAAAUCCAAAUUCUAUGUCUUUCCUUCCCCGACCCGAAGCAUGAAGCUCCUCUCUCUAAUCCCCUUGAUCUCCAAAAAACCUCCAAUGAAAAACCGAACUAAUAACCUUGCAAAAACUUUCCGCCGCUUCCCCGAUUCCUCCUUCAAACUUAUUCUCCCCCUAACCUUAUCCUCUUGAAUUCCUUCAAUCUUCCGUCUUAGAUCCGAAAUUAGCUCCCACCGUCAGAGCUUAGAUCCAAAAUUGGCUCACGUCAUCAAGGCCUUCUCCUCCGUUUUUACCUUUAAGAGAUCUAUUUACCGCAAACAACGUUCCUUGAAACGGCACAGAGAACAGGAUAGCCUGAAACAAAAUCGAAACCCCGUACUCGGGUCCACAUUGAGUCGCCCAACCAAUUCAGGUCCCAUAUUGGAAAAGAUGCCCGUAGUAACCUGGAUGUUUGCAUAAUUGGGUCAAAUUGGUCCUCACGUCAGAUUGGCUAAGGCCCGUAGUAAGACCUGGAUUUCCCGUAAUUAGAUUGUAUUGAGUUGCCCGACCAAUGCAGGUCUCAUAUUAGGUAAGAUAUCCAUAGUAACCUAGAUUUUUCCAUAAUUAGACUGCAUUGGGUUGCCCGACCAAUACAGGUCUCAUAUUGGGUAAGAUGCCCGUAAUAACCUGGAUGUUCCCGUAAUUAGACUACAUUGGAUUGUCCGACCAAUGCAUGUCUCAUAUUGGGUAAGAGGACCCGGAUUGGAUUCUUGAAAUUGGAUCCAAUUGGCUCUUCGAACCAAGCUCACCCGUCGUGUGAAUUGGUCCUUUCUCUUCCUGCUGACUCCCGUUAUUGGAAUCGAACAGAGCAUUUCAGUAUGCCCCGGCUGACUGUAACGGAGCGAUUGAACCUGACCACUCAGUAUUUGCACUGGAGUUGGUCGAUGCUCCCAAUAUUCGAGAUAACUGAAUAUUAAUAAAAUUCCCCUUUCUUUUUAUUUUCACUGUAUACUCGUGUUACAAUACGACAUCCAUCCCCUCUUAACCUGUGCAUCCUCCGGUAUGCACCAAUUUAUCCAAUUGCUGUUUGCUUCAGAAUAUAUCCUCUACGUCUUUGUCCUGUUUGUCUUCAUCACCUUCAUUAUCCAAAUCACUUUCAUCUUCUUGCUGCGGAAUCUCUAUACUUUCAUUAAGGUCUUCCAUAUUCAUCUCUGCGUGUCUUCGUUUAAAUAUUUUUACUCGCUUCCCUGCAAUUGGUAUUUUCAAUUUUAUACCAUCUAACUCCCGUAAUGAGUAAGUCGCAUUAUCAUGAACAGUCGUUACCACAUAUGGUCUAAACCAACAUUUUGAGAAUUUCCGCAAAGUAUUAUGUUGAUUAUCCAGACUAUUGUCAUAAACAAGUACCCAGCCACCUUCCUCGAUUGCUUUAGGUCUCAAUCGAUGUUGCUUAUCGAAUCGCGUCUUGUUUUGUAACCUUGCUCUUUUUAACCUUCCCACUGCUAUCUGGACAUCUUCCGUUCUUUGCUCCAAUUGUCGAAUCCUAAUAGCCAGAAGUUCUUCUCUUGUCAAUCCAUCUUCCCAUGGUAGCAUCCUCCAAGUAAGUACCUUUUCUUUGAUCAGCAUAAUUGAUUUUUGACCUGUCAUAAGUUCUACUGGCAUAUAUCCUAUCACCAAACUAUGUGUAGUUCGAUCAGCCCAUAAUGCAAAUGACAAUAGCCGUGGCCACUCUUUAACUUUCCCAUUACAAGCUUUAACCAAUGCUUUCUCAAUCGGCGGGUGACCGCGUUCGUUCUUUGCAUUCCCUUCUGGAUUAUAAGCAGUAGUCAGUGAUAGUUUAACUCCACAUCUUUCAAAGAACUUACGAGCUUCUUGUGCAUUUAAUUCUCCACGAUCUACAGUGAUUUUUCCUACGCACCCGUAACGGCAAAUGACAUCUUCAAGAAAAAACCUACAAAUCCCCUCUGUAGAUUUUGUCCUCAAUGCUCUUCCUUCUACUUGAUUUGAUAAAUCUUUAUGAGCUAAAAUCAAAUAUCUCAUCUGCCAUAACCCAACCGACAUAAUAACCAAAUCAACAAUCCAUUUAAAAUGAAUAGCCAGAGGAUACGUAGGAUGAAGACCAUCUCGAUGUCGGAUAUUAGAAUACGAUUGACAGAUUUCACAUGACUCUACAAAUGAGAACACAUCUCGAUACAUAUUUUUCCACCAAUAUCGUUCCUUGAGUUUAACAAAAGUAGCCCAGAUUCUUCUAUGCCCUGCCCUUAAACUAUCAUGAAAUUCCUUUAAUAAUUUUAGUUUUUCUUCCCUUUUGCCUAUCACUCGUUGUGGCAUCCUAAUUCCUUUCUUCGAUCUCUUCCAUAAGAAUCCAUCUCGAAGUAAAAAUCCAUAUGCUUUUUUUCUUAUUUGUUUGAAUUUUUCUGUAGACCAAUUCCCUUGCUUAGUCAAGGUAUUCAAGUAAUGACCAAUAUCCAAUAAUUCUCCUUCAUAAGUUUCUUCAAGAAAUAGCUUGUCUUCUCUGUUGAAAUUUGAUAUUGAAUAGAAUUUCAAUCCGACAUCAUCAAUGUCUUCAACCAUUUCGUCCUCCCUCUCGUAUCUUGCUCGAGAUAGCAUGUCUGCUACUAAAUUGUCCUUUCCAGUGAUAUGCUUAAAUUUUGGAUUUAGUGACUUAAUAUAAGCAAUCCAUCUCAACAUUACAAUAUCUGGUGUUGAACAGUUAAUAAUCAUUCCAAGCAAUGGCAAGCAAUCUGUUUCAAUUACUACUACUAUCUCAAUCAAAUAGUCCUUUUCAGCUUUCAUAGCCGAAACGACUCCCCAAAGUUCUCUUUUGACUUGCGAAUAUGCAUGCUGACGAAUACUUAAAACUUUAGCCCCAAAUCAAACUGCAAAUCUACUCCCAUCUGAAUCAUCUUGACCCACAGCCCAUCCAACGGCAAUUGGACUAGCGUCUACAGUAAGAAUCACUGGUCUAUUGCACUUAUAAUCAACCUUCCUCAAUAUUGGAGCUGACAUCAAUAAUUUCUUCAAUCUUUGCAUUGCCUGAAUAUGCCUUUCUUUCCAUUUAAAUCGGUAACCCUUGCAUAAUAGUUCAUAUAAUGGAUCCGCUAUGUGAGCAAAAUGAGGGAUCCAGAUUCGAUAAAAUACACAUGCACCCAAAAACCUGCGAACCUCUGUUAAAGAAUCACAAUCCUCUUUCAUCCUUCCAAUUGCAUCAACUUUAGUCGGAUCUGGUUUUCUUCCGUAAGAUCCACAUAAAUGUCCAAUAAUUACAACCUCUCGUACUCCAAAUACAGACUUUAUAUCCAAUAAUGUAAGAUGAACUUCUCUAAGCCGAGUUAAAAUCUUUUCACAAUCUUGUAUAUGAUCAACAAUAUAUUUGCAACAUCCCCUCGUAUCUAAAGUUUCAUCCUUGUCUCCUUCUCUGCAUCCUUUUAUAGGAACAUCAUCCAAAAAAGGCAUAGUCUUUUUCGGAAUAAAAUCUCUCAAUACCUUAUUUAUCCCAUUCAUCAUAUGUGCAACUGAGUUGGUCGUGCCUUGAGGAAGAGUGCACAUUCUAACCAAUCCAAGCGGUGUCCUCAUCAUUGUCAUAUCUCUACUUCGUUCGGCAAGUUGAAAUUGAUCAUAACCUGAAUACAAAUCACCCAUUGAAUAGAUCGCCCUUCCAGCAAACGCCUCAGCAAAUUCAUCCACAAUAAGUCCAAUUCCUGCAUUCCUGACAGUUACAGCAUUCACCAGCUGCAUAUCUUGAAUAAACCGUAGUGAUCCAUUCUUCUUAGGUACCGUAAACCAUCGACUAGAAUACGGCGCAAAUGAAGGUUCCAAUAUUUUUAUCUUUAUCUUUUCUUUCAAUAGUUCCACCAAUUUAGGUAAAUGUGCCCUCGGUACUGGAAUCGGUCUUAGAUUCCAAGGUACAUGUGGUACAGUGAAGAUAACCAUAGGUGUUAUAAUAUUUGGAUCCACACACCCAAUUUCAUGAGAUUCGAAGGCAAACGAUCUACCUUGUUUAGCCAACAUCUUUUUGAAGCAAGUAAUUUCCUCCGGCAAUAAAGAACCAUCAGAAUCAAUCUUUAAUUCUUCAAAAGUCUCUUUUUCUUUCUUUUCUUUUAAAAUCAUCAACUUUCUUAUACAUAAUAUUUCCAUUCUCCAAUAUACCAAUAAAACUCGCAUCAAAGGCACCUUCAUCUCGCGAGAGUACCUCCUCUUUUGUACCUCCAUAAUCUCACUUUACAGUGGUACCUCCCCAAAAUCCUUAAAUCCUUCAACAAUCUUUGGCAAUGGUUUCUCCCUCAACCUAUGUCGAUUCCGUUCAUGGUUAGGAGGUACUGUUAGAAAUUGUACAGCUUUCUUGCUAUCUUCGCUCCGUACCCUUGCAUAAGCAGAACCAUGGUCAAGUACUUUUGUUUCCAUCCGUGUUGCUGUGAUAUAAAGUUGUCCUAAAAUCAAGGGAUAAGACGUUGUAUCUUGAACGAAGAAAUAUUGCUCCGUCGCAACAUCCCCAAUCCGAAUUUUGACAUCUGGACAAGCUCCAUAUAAUUCGCCUCGUGUGUUAUUAGCUGCUCGUAUUGCCCAUCCAUGUUCCAUAUCAAUUGGCUAUUUUUGCUUCUUAUAAAGAUCUUUAGACAUGAGAUUUAUUUCAGAACCAUGGUCGAUCAAAGCAACUAUUGGUUCAUCUAUAUCUCCUACCUUCACCAAUACCUCAGUAGUUGCCCUUGCCCAAUGCUUUCGAGUAUAAUGGCUCAAAGUUUCCAUUUCCUUAUCACUAGAAUCUUCGAAACGUACUCGCUGAUUAUACCCAUUCUUUUCAUUUGUUGGUUGCUUGUAACCAAUAUCAACCUCUUCUUCAUCUCUACAUAUUCUUGCAUCAAUAGCAUGACUCAUUCCAGUUUCGCUCAUUAAUUGCCUCUUUCGCUUAAUGCUGUCAAUGAUAACAUCAUGAAACUCCUUCUUUGCAAUUCCCAAGACUUCUUUCAAUGUGAAUUCCACCUUAGCAUUUAAUAUACGUUCUUCCAACACGUCUUUCAAAUUUGUUGCCGCUUCAAUAUCAAAAAGUAGCUUAUAAGCAAUUGAUUUGCCCUUAUCUUUUGUCUCCGUUGUUUUUUCUCACAAUGAUGCUGAGGUAUCCUUUACAGGCAAUUCUUGUGAAGCUGUCUCUCGAGCCUUGUCUCCUCGAGUUUGCCUCUUAAAAGAAUUUCCUUCUCUAGUAUCAUCAAAAUUUCCUCGUCUCUUUUCUUCCAUCAAAGCUUCAUGUUGGCUCUUAGCAAUAUAUGCAUGAACUGAAAGAGACUCAACAGGAUCCUCCCAUCCUGUUCUACCUCGUAUUGUAGCUGCAGUUCUCAAUAACGCUUCUCGAGGUAAUUUCCCUUCUUGCAUUGUAGAAACGGCAGAAGUCCAAAACUCACUAAUUUCCGUACUUCCACCAAUUUCAUCAUCUACUCUAGCACCAUAACUUGUACUUUCUCGUGCUACUGUUUCAUACUCUUUUAAGUAAUCUUGAACCAAUGCUCUCAUUCCUCCCUUGCCAAAAUUGGUUUGAAGAAGAUCCUCUCUAUUUUUCAAUGCUAUCUUCCCAUCUUUCCAGCAAAUAAUUCCCUGUCGUAUCAUAUUAUUAAAUUCAUUGCAAUCUUUUCUAGUGUGUGAAGCAUCAUCACACCAAAUGCAUCUUUGUACAUAUCCUUGUUUUGAAACAUUCUUCGAGUUGUUUAUAGAAGUAUUCUCUUCAAGUCUUGCCAAUUUGAUUUGAAGAUCUCGCAUUCCUCGUAUAAUUUCUUCCAUACCCAUAUCUGCUUUCUUUGACAAGGAUGUCGAAGGUUGAACUGUAGGCAUUGUUGGUGGUGUUGUACGUACUGGAGCUUUGGGUGCUUGUACUGUUUUCGGAAUAUUGCUCCUAUCCUUCCUCCUUUCUUUUUUUGUAAGCAACCUCACCGCAUCUUCAACGUUCUUCUACUUCGUUGUCAAUCCUUCAUCUUCUUCUUUGUCUUCAAGAAGGGGUUCUAAUUUCUCUUGCAAUUUUCCAUCUGCAGCUUGAAGAAAUAGAUCAACUUUGUUCGGCUCCAAUGUUAAUUUUUCUACCUGCGAUAAUUGAGAGUACUGCCUCUCAAAUUCCCUUAGUAGCUCUGUUUCUUGCAAAUUCUUAUUGGGUCGUUCAAUCCAUCCUAGAAACAGCUUCUUAGUAACGCAAUCAGCAUCUUCCAAGAAAUAUUCGUCUUUCAAUGCAUGUGAAAAAUCCUCCCAUGAAUUUCCAUAACAAUCCGUAAUCGAUGUAAUGUGGUCCCUUAUCUCCGAUAUCGUAGCAAGUCCAAAUAGUGCAACCAUUUUCUUCUCAGAAACCCAAUUUAUUUCCAUUUCACGAACAUAACAUCUUAAAUACCUUGAAAUAUUCCUCCCAUCAAAUUGAUCAAUUUUAUUGACCACUGCUUGCAAUGCUUUGGUUGCCAAAGCUUCCUUUCGAUCAUUGCUUUAUUGUUGCUGCAUUGACAAUGAGAAGGCUUGAAACAAACUAGCAAUAGACGGAUCCAUGUGCAUACCUUGUCCUUUAGAAGACUCUCCAUCAGAAACUCCUCCCAAAAAUCCUUCAAAAUUUUUAUUUUCGUUUUCCAUAGAAAUAAAGAUAAAAUCAACCAAAAUCCAAUACCUUCCACCUCAAGCUUUCACGUCGGGUUCACCACUUUUUAUCGUAUUACAUGCUUUCCUGCUCGAGAACGCGCCGAGCAUCUGGCUGUAGAAGGUAGUAUGGAGAUUUGCUGAUAGCCAAGCAGUCUAUCAGUUUUGACUGCUGGAAUAUAAACGACUGCAACAAUGUACCGUUAAUCUAUACGGAUGUCCUUCGACUGCUUGUCAAAGUCUUUUUUGCCCUAGCCGGUAGGUCUCUAGACGUUACAGAGAACCCCGAACAAUCCAAACUGUUAAUCUUCAAUACUGCUUUGUACUUAUGAUCUUGUAUCCACUGACUGUCUUGUUAGAUUAACCCAAUAAAUUUCAUUCACUCUGCAUACUCAAUCCUAUAGACACCCUUUUAAUCCUUCAAUCAUAGACGUAACUUGAUUUCACAAAACAGUCAAGAGUAUUCAAAUCCACUUCAUUAAAAAUCCCGAUUCACCAUUACAAUACUGACUUCAGCAGCGAUUGCCUCAGUCUUUUCAAAACUCUACGAAGAAAAAAAAUCCAAAUUCUAUGUCUUUCCUUCCCCGACCCGAAGCAUGAAGCUCCUCUCUCUAAUCCCCUUGAUCUCCAAAAAACCUCCAAUGAAAAACCGAACUAAUAACCUUGCAAAAACUUUCCGCCGCUUCCCCGAUUCCUCCUUCAAACUUAUUCUCCCCCUAACCUUAUCCUCUUGAAUUCCUUCAAUCUUCCGUCUUAGAUCCGAAAUUAGCUCCCACCGUCAGAGCUUAGAUCCAAAAUUGGCUCACGUCAUGAAGGCCUUCUCCUCCAUUUUUACCUUUAAGAGAUCUAUUUACCGCAAACAACGUUCCUUGAAACGGCACAGAGAACAGGACAGCCUGAAACAAAAUCGAAACCCCGUACUCGGGUCCACAUUGAGUCGCCCAACCAAUUCAGGUCCCAUAUUGGAAAAGAUGCCCGUAGUAACCUGGAUGUUUGCAUAAUUGGGUCAAAUUGGUCCUCACGUCAGAUUGGCUAAGACCCGUAGUAAGACGUGGAUUUCUCGUAAUUAGAUUGUAUUGGGUUGCCCGACCAAUGCAGGUCUCAUAUUAGGUAAGAUAUCCAUAGUAACCUAGAUUUUUCCAUAAUUAGACUGCAUUGGGUUGCCCGACCAAUGCAGGUCUCAUAUUGGGUAAGAUGCCCGUAAUAACCUGGAUGUUCCCGUAAUUAGACUACAUUGGAUUGUCUGACCAAUGUAGGUCUCAUAUUGGGUAAGAGGACCCGGAUUGGAUUCUUGAAAUUGGAUCCAAUUGGCUCUUCGAACCAAGCUCACCCGUCGUGUGAAUUGGUCCUUUCUCUUCCUGCUGACUCCCGUUAUUGGAAUCGAACAGAGCAUUUCAGUAUGCCCCGGCUGACUGUAACGGAGCGAUUGAACCUGACCACUCAGUAUUUGCACUGGAGUUGGUCGAUGCUCCCAAUAUUCGAGGUAACUGAAUAUUAAUAAAAUUCCCCUUUCUUUUUAUUUUCACUGUAUACUCGUGUUACAACACGACAGCGGCAUUUGAUGGUUUUACACAAGAUCAAGACAAGUUUGGAAUUUGGCAUCAACAACUUGGUCAUUUGAAUGCCAAAUGUAUGAAGGAGCUCCAGUCCAUGGUAAGUGGCUUGGAUCUUGGUCAAUUCAGCCACAAUGCCAUGACACUUAGUUGUGAAGGGUGUAUACAAGGUAAACAACAAAGGGCUUCAUUUCCAAGUAGAGUUGCAACACGUGCAACAAAAUUGUUGGAGAUUGUAUACUUAGAUGUUUGUGGACCAAUGAAGACACCAUCAAUUGAAGGAGCAAGAUACUUUAUUACAUUCAUUAAUGAUUUUUCAAGAAAGGUGUGGAUUUACAUCAUUAAAGAUAAGAGUGAAUGUUUCUCAAAGUUUAAGGAAUUUAAGGCUCUUGUAGAGUAACAAUGUGAGUAUAAGAUCAAAGUAUUGAGAACAGACAAUAGAGGUGAAUACAUGUCAAAGCAUUUUGAUGACUUCAUGAAGAUUCAAGGUAUUGCAAGACAAACCUCUACUCCUUACACUCCACAACAAAAUAGAGUUGCUGAAAGAGCAAAUUGUACCAUUGUGGAGAUGGCAAGGAGUAUGCUUCAUACACAAAACUUUGGGCAUGAAAAUUAGAUGGAAACUAUGAUAAAUGCGGUAUACACAAGGAAUAGGUGUAUUAUAAGUGCACUUACAUCAAUGACUCCACAAGAAGUUUAGAGUAGGAUGAAACCUUGUGUUUCACACAUGAGGAUUUUUGGAUGCAUUGCUUAUGCAAAAGUACCAGAUUGUAUGAGGUCCAAACUUGAUGCAAAAGGUAAAAAAUUUGUAUUUGUUGGAUAUUGUGAAGGUACCAAAGCAUAUAGGCUAAUGUGUUUAGAAACCAAGAAGAUUAUCAAAAAUCAUGAUGUAGAGUUUUUAGAGCAUAAGAGUACUUUUGAACACUUGAAAGAGUGUCCAAGUAGGAGUAAAGGUAUAUUUGUGGACACAUCUUCAAGUUUAGUUAAAGAAGAAGAAGAAGAUGAUGGUGACAAUGAGGAUGGAGGAAAUAGAAAUCAAGAUCAAGUACCAAAGAAGCUAAAUCAUAAUGUGCCUUCAAUUGUUAGAACCAACAAUGAAGACAAUAAAGAUAUUGAAGGUGAUGAUGAUGAAGAAUAUCAACCUUUGAGUGAGAAAAGAUAAGCAUUGAGGAAGAAGAAGGAUGGAAUGCAAGAAGAAGGCUCUUCUUCAAAUGAAAGGAGAUAUCUUUUGAGAGAAAAAAAACCACGUGGUGAAUGGUGGAAGGACCACAUCUUUCCUCAAGUAAGUGAAGAACAUGCCAAUGUUGCACUUCUAGCUGAUCCAUUGAGUUUAUAUGAUGCAAUGAAGUCCACGGAUGCAUUGAAGUAGGAGAAUGCUAUGGAAGAAGAGUAUAAAUCGGUCAUGGACAAUGGAACAUGGGAAUUGACUCAACUUCCACCAAAUCGAUCUUCAAUUGGUUGUAAGUGGGUGUUUAGAACCAAAAGGGAUGCAAUGGGAAAUAUUAUGACAUACAAGUCUAGAUUGGUUGCUAAAGGCUACUCAUAAGUUGCUGGUGUGGAUUUCAAUGAGACAUUUUCUCCCAUGGCCAAAUUCACUACCAUUAGAACCAUUGUGGCAAUUGGAGCAGCAAUGGACUUGGAGAUGCACCAAAUGGAUGUGAAGACGGCUUUCUUGAAUAGAAGUUGGGAAGAAGACAUCUAUAUGGAGCAACCUCAAGGAUUUUUUGAAGAAGGCAAACAACACCUUGUUUGUAAGUUGAAGAAAUCUUUAUAUGGACUAAAGCAAUCACCAAGGGCAUGGUACCAACACAUUGAUAUAUUCUUUGUGAGUGAAGGAUUUGUAAGGAGUGAGGCUAAUCAUUCCUUAUAUGUGAUGCAAUCAAAUAGGUUCAUAUUGAUUGUCAUCCUCUAUGGUGAAGAUUUUAUCAUCUUAACUAAUACAUUGAAGAUGAUGGAUUAGUUGAAGGCAAAGUUAGAAAAAGAAUAUGAAAUAAGUGAUUUGGAAGAGCUUCACUAUUGUUUAGGAGUGGAGUUUGGAAGAGAUCGUGCUAAGAAGACCAUUACAAUGAGCCAAAACAAGUACAUUGAAGAAGUGUUAAAAUGAUUCAACAUGGAGGAGUGUAAGCCUAUUGAAACACCAUUAAAGGCAAACUUGAAGUUGAUGAAGGUCACGGAUGAAGAGUUUGCUGAAGUUGAAGGUCAAAUACAAGGUGUUCCAUACAAGGCAAUAGUGGGCUCACUUAUGUAUGCAAUGGUUGGUACAAGGGUGGAUCUUGCAUAUGCGGUGAGUGUUGUGAGUCAACACAUGUCAAGGGCUGGACCAAUCCAUUAGACAACCAUCAAAAGGAUCAUGACGUACUUAAAAGGCAUUUUGAACUUCAAAUUAUGCCUUGGAGGUGAUAACAUUAGUUUGCAUGAUUAUUGUGAUGCAGAUUGGGCUGGAGAUGCAAAUGAUAGAAGGUCAAUAACGGGCUAUGUAUUCUUUAUUGGAGUGGGAGCAAUUUUAUGGAAUUGGAAGAGACAACCAACAAUUGCAAGGUCAACAAUGGAGGCGGAGUAUAUGGCAACAAGCCAUGGUACAAUGGAGGCAAUAUGGUUAAGACAAAUUUUAGAGGACAUUGGAGAUGUACAAAUGGAAGCAACUCCAAUGGAGUGUGACAAUCAACGAUGUCUUACAUUUGCAAAGAAUCCAAAGUAUCAUUCAAGGACCAAACACAUUAAUAUUCAACAUCACUUUAUAAGAGAGAAGAUUGAAAUGGGAGUGAUUGAUAUGAAGUAUUGUGCAACGGAGGACAUGCUUGCUGAUUUGUUGAUAAAGGCAUUAGUAAAGGAUAGACACUACAUGUUGACAAAGGCAUUAGGCUUAAAAGGUAUUUGACCAAUAGCAAAGUGGGAGUAUUAAAGUAAAAGUAGAAAAUAUUAUCUUGUAUAGGAUAUUACCUUAGGUAAGUUGCUAGUGGUCAAAGGUUUGACUCUUGGUAUAUAGUAAGGACAUCCAAUGGAUAUAAGAUGAAGUCAUGGACCAAGAGUCAAAGUCAAAAGGAUAAAUUAUUAACAAGGGAAUAUCCAAAGACUAAAUAUGAGUCAUUAGUAUGUAUCAUAGGAUACACUCGAAGUUUGUGAGAUGCCAAAGGAUCCUAAGAGCAUAUGUGUAAGACGUAAGAAUAAUUAAUAUUGGACAUAGGAUACUCUUGAAACUUGUGAGAUGCUAAAAGGAUCCUAGGGCCAUGUGUGUAAAAAUCAAAGAGUGGACAUUGUCUUUUAGGACAGCAACUAUUACUUAUAAGUAAUGGGUGUUGGAAGUGAGAGAUAUCUUACUCCAUACUCUCUUUGUGUACAACCUUGCUGAUACUAAGUGUUGUAUCUUUUAAGUACUUAUUUUCUUAAUAAUACUAAUAUCUUGACCUUCGGCCAUUUUAAGAGAAGAAAAGAAAUGAUUCUAUAAGAAGACAGUAUUGAUUUAAAGGAGAGUACUCCGUAACCUCUAAAACGCCUUAAAACCUUCAAGAAGAAGUAUAAUCUAUUCUUCCCAAGAAAGAUAAGACUUCAAUAUUAUAAUAGAAGAAAUAUCAGUUUAGAAGAAGAUAAUCUACAACUUCUAAAAUACCAGCUCUUUUAAGUAGAAGAAUAAUUCACAUUCUAACAAGAAGUAACUAACUCUGAUUUGAAAGAUAACUAUAGUCUCAACAAACUAUCAAGAAUUUAGAAUACUGACUGGAAAUCUAAACAAGAAGCUCAAGAAGAAUUGGCAAGAACUAGAUUAAUUAGAUGAGUACAAGAAUAAUACUACAGAGGUGAGCUAGAGCUCCAAGAGAUGUAUUGUCGAGACUAAGGAUCUCCUCAGUCUUGGCUCCUAUAUAUACUACAAGCUAGGAAGCUUUUUAAGUAGCUUCUACCAACUAGGAAGCUUCUCAAGCAACUUCCAUGAGCUUGAAAACUUCUCAAGUAGCUUCUUCAAACUACAAAGCUUCUCUAGAACCUUCUAGAAUCUUUUACAACUUCCUAGUGUAUGUCUUUGACACUAAGUCAAUAUUUGGACCACCUUAAAUUCUAUUUGUGAGAUGGUAGUUUCAAAGUCUUUAUGGCUAAAAAAGAGCUAGACUUGAAGAUUGGUAGUUCUUGUCAAUACUUAGGACAUGAUAAACUUCUCAAGUUUAAGAAAAAAAGAAGAUAUUACAUACAUAGAUUCUUACUAAAUGGUUUUUGAUGCAAAUUCAAUUAGAAGCAUAUUCUAAUAGUUCCAUGAAAGAAUAAUGUCAAUUGAAUGAUAUGAUUUUUUAAACAAGAUAAAAUCUUAUUUAAAGAAUCUUCCUUAUAUGCGUUACCAAAUACUUAUGUAGAAAUAUGUUUGUUCCUUUUUUAAAGACAAUAAAAUAUCAUACAAUCUAAAGAUAUUGUGAUGCUUGUGUCCAAUGUCUUAGUAAGUAAAAUACAAGGAAUCAAUUGUUCUUAGUAUGAAAUAGAGGUUUUUGGAUCAAAUAUAAAAAUUAAUCAAUAGAAUUUAUUUAUUGGGCCAUAAAAAGAUAACAAAUUGCUUACUAUGUGGAGAUGGAGUUUUGAAGAUCCAAUAAAAAUGAUAACACAAGGUGCUACCAAGCAAAUAUAUGAUUAUACUUCGACUAAAGAGCUAAUUUUUAAUACCUAACUAAUAAAGUAUAGAAAUUUUGAUGACAUUGAUGAUAUAUUAGUAUCAAAAGAUCUUUGAGCCGAUAGCAAGGGACCAAAAAAUUUAGAAUUCAUAUCACAAUUGAUAUCAUGUAGAAGAGAUUCUUAGAUCAAGUAAACUUAGUUGAUAGAAAGUAUGGAACUUCAACUCCAAUGUAUAGUAGGUUUAUUUGUAAAACGUAAGAUUAUUGAUUCUUUGUCUUAAUUCAACUAUUGUGAAUAUUGAAUACUUGUUGUAAGAAAGGAUUACAUGGAAUUUUGUAAUAAUGUGAUGAAUACACAUAUUUAUUUUAAUAAUUAUUUAUAUGAUUAAAUAGAAAUAAAUAAAAGUAGAUUAAUUUUAUAAUAUCUUUUAGAAAGCUUUCUACAAGUUUUAUAGCUGCUUUGAUUUUAUACAUGUUUGUAAUUAAUUGGUAGGCUAAAAACUUGGUCAAUAAAUUAACCAUGUGUCACAUGUAUCAAUAGCUUAUAGAACAAGUUGACUAUGUAGCAUUGUGAUUGUCGUUUUACUUAUUCUAUAAUUCCUUUCAGAAUAAACCUAUAUAAGAGAAUUCGAACACAGGAAAAGACUAAGCGCAUGAGUUUCACUUGUUAAGGUCAUACAAUUAACUAUAGUCCGAACCACUAAAACACUAAGAAACACUAAAAUGCUUCCUCCUAAUAACAAUAUUCCUUCAUCAACUCAUAACUACAAUGGGCAAUCCUACACUCUCAAAAGAUCACUCAAAACUCAAUAAAUUCCAUCCAACAUCAAGAAUAACCGACUUCACUUCAAUCAAUCUGAAUUCAUAGAAUUCCUAUAAUCACAGACUUCCUCUAUCAAAACACACACUCACACAACUCUCAAUAAACAACAAUCAUAAUCUUCCAUCCAUAAUCAAUCUUCCAAUAAUUUUUUAUAUAAUUCAAUCACUCAGUACUCUAAUUACAUAAUCAAUAAUUCAUAAAUUAAUCUCUGAUUUAUUCCACAGACUCACUUUUCAAUAUUCAGAAACUAUCCAUUAUUCUUCAAUAACAAAAAAAAUUAAAAAAUUAAAGAGGAAACACCAAGCUUAAUCCCGGCUCAUGACUAUCAUAGUCUGGCACCCCGACAAACUUCUACAACUCCUAUAUAAUUGCUACUAAUUUCUAGAUUCUAACCGUAAUCCUAUAAUAAUCACUUUUAAUAACUAAAUCAAUCAUCCGUCCUCCUAAACUGACUAUUCUAUGGACUAUUAGUUUAUUUUAUCAAUAUCUUAUAAAAAUGAACUAAUAUCUAUUCUACAAGCAUACAUGUAGAUAAUUUGUCUUACAAGUAUAGAAUAUUAUCAUAUAAUUUUUAAUUAGAUAAUAUAUAUAUAGAGAAAGAUAAGAAUGAAACCUUCUUCAAUCUUAUCAAUGCCUUUCUAAUCCUUAGUCUUGUUUUAAACCUUUUUAGUCUUUUUUGUCUUUGGCAAUAGCAAUCCUAAUUCAAUAUAUUAUCAUCUUUGAGUAAAUUUCUAGACUUUUUGAGUGACACAAGAGUGUACCGAGGUUUUUUUUUGAGGUUCAUGUUGAUGGCAGUUUGACAAGACUGCUAGUUUUUUUAUUCUUAUCUUGUUUUAAAAGUAAGUGAAUAAUUUCACUUCUAUAUUUUUAUUUUGAAGGUUAUGGGCUACUUACUUUUAAACAAAUAGUUUAUUUUUUCAACAUUGAUUUUUUCUUAAAAAGAACAGAUCACCUUUCUUUAUUAAAAUUUUUAUUUGGUAUUAAAGGUUGCAGAUUAUCCUCUUCUAAUUUGAUUUGUAGAUUUACUAAAUUAUUUAAAAUAGAAGGAAAAAUCAUGGAUGUUAUAUUUGGAAAAAAUAAGAAUCAAUUUAUAACUAUUUCAAAUCUUCACAAGCUUAUCAACACUCUUAGAACAAAAAUUUCAUGCAUUAUCAAUCCCAACUAUAGAAGUACUAUUCUUACACAUAUGGAAGAAGUCUAGAGUCUAUCCCAAGAAGUUGUGUAGUUGAAGGAAGCAAAUAGAUCGAACUUACAACCAAAUCUAAGAAGUCUUGCUUUUAAAAGUAUAAGAGAGGAAAACAAUAGUAUAUCCUAGAGGUUUGAUGGAACAAGAUCAAAAUUUUGAGAGUUUUUGCAACAAGUUAAGUUCAAUUUAAGAUUUCAUCCUUUCUAAUAUCUCAAUAGAUUUAUUUAAGUUAAAUUUAUAGGUACACUUCUAUUAAGAAAUAUUCUCUUUUCAUUUGUAUCUUUGAUGGAAAAUGAUUCACAAUUAUUCUAUGAUUUAAAUUCAUUCUUGAAAGUAUUUAUGGCUACAUUCGAAGAAAAUAAUCUAGAAAGGAUAGUAGAGAUCAAACUUGUAUUGCUACGACAAGAAUUACAUUCAACUACCAAAUAUAUUUUUGAAUUCUAAAAUCUUGCUUUUGAUAUAGAUUGGAAUAACAAAGUCCUUAUCAAUUAGUUUUAAUAUGGAUUGAAAGAUAAUAUCAAAUAUUUAUUAUUAAUAAUAUCAAGAAUAGAUUUAUUGAAGCAAUUUAUUCCUUAAGCCAUUGCAAGUUUAAUUAAUUCUUUAAAAGUUGCUAAGAACAAAUAUUUUAUUAGAGAAGCAUAAAUCAAGCCAUAUCAAAACCUUCUAUGUUUUUAGAAGCUUAUUUUUCCAAGUAAGAGUCUAUGCAAAUUGACAUGGCACAUUUUAAAACUUUUACUAAGAAAGAAAAGAUUCAUCAACUUCAUAAAGAUUUGUGCCUAUAUUGUGAAAAAUCCAAGUACGUUAUUCAACAUUGUUUAAAAAAAUAAUGCAAUUACAAAAUGAUGAGCAUUGUAAUAAGAUAUAGAUAAGAUAUUGGUAUUAUUGACAAAUAGAGAUAGAUAAUUAAAACUAUAUUUGAAAAGUUAUGAAAUUUUUUAGAAUAAGGAUUAGAUUAGUGGACCAAGUAGGAUCCAUUGUGGAACAUUUUAGAAAGAAUUUAGAGCCGUUAUUUAGGUCAAGCCCACCAUGGAACAUUCUAGACAAAAAUUAGGGCAAUAAUUUAGGUAGAAUGUACUAUAGAAUCUUCUAGAAGGAAUUCAAAGUAAUUACCUAAGUAGGAUCUAAUAUCUAGGAACUUUCUAAAAAUUCUAGGGUGGUAGAACAAAGUAUAAAUAGAACUAGCCACGAUCUUUUGGGAUAUUUGGUCAAGUGUGGCUUUGGAUCCUUUCUCUUAAUAUAAUUAGAUUUUAUAUUUUUUUUGCUUUAUUUUAUUCCGUUCUAAUUCAAGUUACUUAAUUUUGUCUUCUAUGUCCUAUUUUAUUUAGUUCUGUUUAGUUUUUUUGUAGUCUAGUUUGUCCUACCUUGUGAUGAGGUUUUAUGUUACCUUGGAUUAAAAAGAUCUUGGAUACUUGAGUUAAAUUGGUCCUCUUUCAUUGGUAUUAGAGUGAGUGUUAGACUGUUCUUUGGUAGUGUAUUGAUAGUAAUCAUUUAGUCCAAGGUCAGUUGUUGUAGUCAUACUAGAUAUUGUAUUGAAGCUACCAUAAGCUACUCUUAGAAAGUCAACCAAGAAGUAAGAAGGCAUUACAAUAGUAGAAUCCAGUGGAGAAAUUAUAACAUGUGAGAUAUGGUAGAGCAAUCUUAGAUAGAGGCUCAAAUACAACACCUCUUAGACUAGAUAUCUACUUUGCGAGGGCAAAUAGAAGCCUCGAGGAUAAGAAAGUCAACAUCUACUAGGAUAAAAUUGAGUAAGCCUAACACAUGCUCUAGAACUUCAAGACAAGAAGAUGAAUGUCAAUGAUUCUUCAACAUACAACAAUAUCUCUACCUAUCUAGGACAAAUACUAUUAAAAGAAUUAUAUGUGCAACCAACUAUUUGAAAGAUGCGGCACUCAUUUGGUGGUGACAUUGAGUUCAAAACUAUAGAGCUGAAGGUGGAUUUUAUAAUUGAAAGGAGUUUGAAACUCAGUUUAAGAAUCAAUUUUGGCCCAUCAAUGUAGAAAAGAUAGCACAUGAUCAGUUGAUAAAUCUUAUGCAAUGUAGUUAGUACAAUAUUAUAUCUCUUGAUUGGAAUCUCUAUAUCUCCAAAUUGAUAAUGUUUUAGAGAUAAAGAUGAUGGAUUGAUUUUUAUGAGGUUUGAAACCUGAAGUCCAGUAAGAGGUAGAAUUAAAGGAUCCACAAACAUUUGAAGAGGCAAUUCGGAUUGUAGAGAAGGUCAAUGCUAUAAAUUUAAGAAAUUAUGGAUCAUGACCUAUAACACAAAGU